GAUUUUUCGGUUAAGCAUAUAAAGGGGUCCCAGAACCUCAUCCCUGAUAUGCUCUCCAGGCUCUCCAAACCAGAAAACCCUCUCACCUUGUUUUCCACCACCUACCAUUUUCCGAUUAUCUCCAUGGCUACCUCACUACCCCCAGAAGCUCUCACCAAGAAAACUUUUCCCUUCAACAAAAACUUCUCUUCUGUCUUUGCCAUCCAAGAAUUUGCCAAAAAGGCUCUCUUUCGCUUCUUCAUGAAAGCCUACCUUGUCAUAGAACCCUUUCCCUUUUCUACUUUCCACCCUGAAAAUCUGUUCCUUACAGGUUUAACCCUUGAUCCAUCCAAAGAAACCACUGAAGAUGUGUUAUGGUAUGUUUGGUGCCUAACUGCCCUUUAUGCAACCAAGUUAGUCCUCCCCAUUUCUCCCACUUUGGAACAUCUCCUUAAUCCCAAUAACGCCACCUCUCUUACCUGGACAUUGCUUGAAUGGUUCUCCCCAAUACCAUGGUGGAGAAAGAAGCUACAACAAUUAUCAGAAAUUUACAACCUUGACCGUAUGCCUGCCCCUGAAGCACAACUGUUCACAUCAGUCUUUAUUAUACACAGGCCAUACUUUCAACAUCCCGACACAAAUCUCUUUUGGACUCAAGAUCAGGUAUAUGAAUGGUUCACUGCACCACAUAUAGCUGUAAUUGAAAAUGGAAUACAGACCACCCUCCACAACUACCUUUACCAAUUAAACCACCAAACUCUGCCACACAAAGACAUCUUUCACACCUCCUUAGGUCCUCAACAUGACCUCAUCAUGAUACCCACUCCCUCUGCCAUAUCUAAACCUAAGUCCACAGGCAUCAUCAUUAAAGAAGAACGACCAGACUACACUGACUUCCUUUUCCAGGACUCACAAGACCCAUGGGAAGAAUUCCUUCCUCUCAGCCAACAUCUCCAACAGUUCCCACAGCCAACCAUGCAUGAUCCAGGAUCCUCAUCUCAACCACCUCCACAACCCUGCAAACCCACAACAGUAGACAAAGCUACCCAAACACCUGGUCCCAUGCCAGGACCCAAAUGCGAGUCUCCAUGGCCCCACUUGGAAGAAUCCAAAGCUCUCUGAAACCUUUUUUCCUCCAGUCUCUCGUGACACUGACCCCGAUGAGACAGACAGCUCAUCCGAAGACGACUACAUGAAUAUCCGCUCUCCAUAAAGUAGUUUGUCUUGUUGUAAUCAUUAUGCUUUAUGCUUUUGUCUUGUAUAAUUAUUAAAGUUUGCUUUUGCUUUAAGCUUUUGCUUUUGUCAAAGUCAUGCUUUAAUUAUUAAAGCACACUUUGUCCUUUGUAAUAAUUAAAGUUGUGUCAUGAUGUAUCUUUUACUUUUGCUUUUAAAAAAAAGAUAGGGGUCCUGUCCUAUCUUCCCCGAGAAUUCUCCUAUAUAAAGAGUUCUCCCCUCCUUUGUAAUAUAGAGGUUUUGAAAGCAAUAAACUCGUGUGCUUCUCAGAAAUCAUGAAUUUCUAAAUUCUCCUCUCUCUCUGCAAAUGAAGAUUUAAAGUUAGAAAACAAAUAAAGAAUUAAAUCUGUUCAUUUUGAAAACUUAAGGAAGUAUGCUCUGCACUUGCCUUUAGUAAGGAUCCUGUGUAUCAGAAAACUUUCGAUCAUUUCUUAUCUGGUUUGGUACCUUGUUUUAGACUUAAAGAAAGUCUGUUUUCGGUUGUAUAAUCCGAGGGAAAAUGUUUUAAAGGUUUUUUAUUACAGAGGUAUAUCGACUGGAAACCCGAGCUUGCGGACUACUGGUCCAAAGUACAGUUUUAACUGUUGUAGUUCUGGUAUAACAACGCCACGUAUCUCCGCUGAUAUUAUGGUAUCAGAGCCAUAAUAUCAAAAAAAUAUUUAAAACUGUUGUGCAAAUUUUAUUGAACUCGCAAGUGCACGAAUCUAUUGUAGAAUAGAUCAAUGAUGACGAGUGUCGAUCCCACGAGAAGGUGGAUUUUAAUUGUGUGUAGAAUUAAUUUUCUAAAUGGGUGGAUGGAUUUGUGGUGAAGAUUAUUUAGACUAUCUUAGAAUUUAAAUUGGAAUGGCGAAAUUAAAUUAAAGUGGAAACUAUUAUAAUUGAAGCGCUUGUGUAUUUGGAUCCGCAUCAACAUGCACCAUGGACUAAAUAUUCCUUAUUGGUGCCAAUUAAAUCAUGAAGGGGGAAUUCACACCUCAUGAACCACACUUUAAUCAAUAUGGUGCUAAGGGCUUAUCGUGCCAAAUAAUAAUAACCUUGUACUAGGGAGCCGGUGAAACCAGGGCAGUAUCUAGACAAUGUUAUUAUUAUUUGUCGACAAAAAGUCAAAACAUCCACAAUAAUUAGAGGGGAAGAGAAAGUAAAUUUACCAAAUCAAGCCCAUGACACAUGUUGAGACUUCACCUUCAACCCAAGCUUGAAAGAAAAUUAGCUGCUCAUAAUUGAACUAGGGGCAAAAUAGGAAUUUAUUAAAAUACAUAGAAAAUACAAGAUGGAGAAUGAAUUACGGAAAAUAGAACCUAAAGAUGGAUUCAGAGAUGCCAAAUUAGGGGGGGAGAGCCCCCUUUUUAUAGAUACAUUAGUAAAUCAUGGCCACGUCAUCAGUCAACAGUACGCGGUUUGACCACGCGGUUUGAAUAGUAACACGGUUUGACCACGCGGUUUGAAUAGUGACACGGUUUGGUUAAAAAUAAUCCUGUGUAUAUGCAUGUACCACGGUAAAUAUAGUAAAUUUAAAAGUUUUUACCACGGUAAAUAUAGUAAUUGUGAAAUUAUAAGUUUCUACUAUGUUAGGUAUUGUAAUUGUUAGUGGAAUGUGUUGGAUGUGCUUGAGUGGAUUAAGUUAGGUUUAUGUUUUGUUAAUGGGACAAAUGUAAGGUUAAGAUGUAAUUAGUUUUAUUUAUUUGUGUAGUGUGGAUUAAUCAUGUAUUAGUAUAAAUAGAGAGGGGGGAACAGACCCUCUCCACAUCUUUUCUUCUCUUCUUUUCCCUCAAAUUCUUCUUCUCAUCUCUCUUUGUAAUAUAUUUUCAAUAAAUAAAAUUAGUUUUAUUUUCAAUUUUCAAAUACUUUUUUAAUUAUUUUUUAUUUUAAUAAUUCCCUUUAUUUCAAUUAUGUUUAGCUAAAUAUUAAUAGUUAGGGGAAGGUGAAAUUCUUAGUAAAAAAAUAUGAUUUAAUCAAAUUCUAUUUUUAAUUAUAUAAAUUAAAUUAUUUUCUAUUUAAUUUUAUCCAUAUUUUAUAUUUUGAAAUUUUGAUUUAUUGUAGACAAACAUGGGAGUUUAACACAAUGAAUUCUUAAUAGCUUAGUAUAAAGUAUGGUACAAUGGUAUUUUGACUUAUUGUAGACAAAUGAAGUUUUGGCACAUUAAGUACUUAAUCCAUAAUAAAAUUAAUGGGAAAAUAAUUGUAAUUUAUACAAUUAAAAUAAAAAUAAUUUAUUAAAUUGUAUUUAUUACUAAAAUUGGAUGCAUAGCCCUAACUAAUUUAAUUUCAUAGUUUUCCUCAAAUUAAAUUGCAUAUAUUUAAAUUUUAUUUUUAUUUUUUAGAUAAACUUAAAUAAACAAAUUAAAUCUUUUCUCUAUGGAUCGACCUCGGACUCACUGAGCUAUAGUAUAACUAGGCAGUCUUAUACUUGGGAGUAAAUUAAACAUUUUAAAGUCGUGUCAUGUGGCAUAGCAAAACAUGCGUCCUUGGUCACCAACUCCGAUUUCCUCCGGUUUCUUGCUGAGAUGACCAAGAACACCUUGAGCAAUAUUAGGGCUCUAUUGCUCAAUAUUGAUAAGUACCUUACAACUGUCAGGAUCAAGUCCAACAUUAGCUGAAGUGAACCUGAUAGCUCUGUCCAACUGUCAGGAUCAAGUAUCCCUUACUAUUUCACCACAGUCGACUUUAGUCUUGAUUAUGAUCUCACAAAAACCAUGACCAUGUUAGUCUUGCUACAAGUCUCACAAGCAACUUUGCUAUCAGGAUCUUUUUCUAAGCAUGCAUCAAGGAUGGCAUCUAAGACCUAGUCACAAAGCUUGUCAGGGUGACCUUCAUUCAUAGAUUCAAAGGUAAAGAGGAAAGUUUCCAUCUCUAAUCUGAAAGUAGACAUAAAAAGGAGUUGUCAGUUACAGGAAUACAUCUUCAAUAUAAUGAAAUAAUUAAUAUCAAUGCUAAACAUAUAAGAUCAAAUAAAUGAAAAAUCAAACAUAACAUUUAUCUUUCCCUCCAUCAAUGGACGAGCCAUCAGUGGCUAAACCAACUAUUUUAUAAUGAAAAUCAACCAAUGCGCUGUCAAAUCAGAAAGUUAACUUAAAUGCAAACAAGCCAUGUGAAUAGACUAUUAUUGUUUUUUUUUUUUUCAAUUAAAGUAGCAUCCUAAUUCUCUCCUCACGAAAAUGAGUGGAUUGGAACCUCAUAUUCUUUUUUCCGCUCAAGAUAUUUAUCAAUUGAACCAACUAGUACCCAAAAGGCCUGUGCAUAAAUAUGUGAUUGCCCUUCUAUCAACUUAAACAAAGCACAUAAAUUUGAGACUCAGUAAUUCUAGAUUUGAAGAACUAAAUAAAACACUGCAUUCUAACAAAAACAAAACAAAAGAUCCACAUUGAACAUUGGUCAUAAACGAUGUAACGUGUCACAAAUAAGAAAGAAACGAUGAAUGGGAUUAGGACCUGUAAAUGAAAUUGAACUGAAUUGAGAGUGUUUUGGUGGAUCUUACAGGCUGAAAUGAAAUUUUAAAAAUAAAAAAAGAAAAGAAAAGGUUUAAUGUGAAUGAGAGUAAAAUUAUAUAAUGAAAAAGCAAUUUGGUUUACUCGUUAGCUCAUUACCUGCCCUGUUUGAUUGCUUCCCUACUCUUUUCACAAUUUACUUAUGUUUUUCCAGUUUAUAUGGGUAAGUAAGAUACUAUCCCACGCAACUUAGAGUAGGGUUUGUUUUGAAGUGAAUCGUCCUUGAAAGUUUAUCCCUUCACCUAUUACCUCCACUGGCCACCUGGAGCCCCCCAAACCUUUUGAAUCAGUCCUCAACUGGCAAACUCAAAAUGCCAGGUGGCCAGUGGCGUUGUUAUACCAUUUAAGAGUGUACGUGGCGUUGUUAUACCAUAACUACAACAGUUAAAACUGUACUUUGGACCAGUAGUCCGCAAGCUCGGGUUUCCAGCCGAUAUACCUCUGUAAUAAAAAACCUUUAAAACAUUUUUCUCAGGUUAUACAACCCAAAACAGACUUUCUCUGAGUCUAAAACAGGGUAACAAACCAGAUAAGAAAUGAUCGAAAGUUUUCUGAUGCACAGGGUCCUUAUAAAAGGCAAGUGCAGAGCAUACUUCCUUAAGUUUUCAAAAUGAACAAAUUUAAUCCUUUAUUCUUUUUCUUUCUUAGAACUUCAUUUGCAGAGAGAGAAGGGAGAGUUUAGAAAUUCAUGGAAGAAAACACACGAGUUUUUAUUUCGGGGCCUGAGUAACGAUGGGCAAGCAUGGCUCGUAACUCAGAGUCAAGUUGAGAAAUUCUGGACUGGAUCUGGUUUGGUACCCUGUUUUAGACUAAAGGAAAGUCAGUUAAGAGUGUACGUGGUGUUGUUAUACCAGAACUACAACAGUUAAAACUGUACUUUGGACCAGUAGUCCGCAAGCUCGGGUUUCCAGCCGAUAUACCUCUGUAAUAAAAAACCUUUAAAACAUUUUUCUCAGGUUAUACAACCCAAAACAGACUUUCCUUUAGUCUAAAACAGGGUACCAAACCAGAUAAGAAAUGGUCAAAAGUUUUCUUAUGCACAGGAUCCUUACUAGAAGGCAAGUGCAGAGCAUACUUCCUUAGGUUUUCAAAAUGAACAAAUUUAAUCCUUUAUUCUUUUUCUUUCUUAGAACUUCAUUUGCAGAGAGAGAGAAGAGGUUUAGGGAUUCAUGGUGUAAGAGGAAACACAAGUUUAUUUCUUUCUUGGAAAUUUUCUUAUAUCUUACAAGCAAGGGGAGAAUCCUUUAUAUAGAGGAGGAUUCUUGAGAAGAUAGGACAGGACCCCUAUCUUUUACAUAAUGGCACAACUUUAAUUAUUACAAAAGACAAAAGUGCUUUAAUAAUUAAAGCAUGACUUUGACAAAAGCAAAAGCUUAAAGUAAAAGCGAACUUUAAUAAUUAUGCAAGCAUAAAGCGAAACAUCAUUAUGACAACAAGACAAACUACUUUAUGGAAAGCAACAAGACAAACAACUUUAUGGAGAGCGGAGGUUCAUGUACUCGUCUUCGGAUGAGCUUUCUGUCUCAUAUGGGUUGUCAGGGUUGCGUUUUGGGAAAAAGGUCUUGGAGAGCUUUGGAUGCUUACAGGAGGGACCACGGCAUGGUGGAUAAGGGCAAUUAUAGUCUCUGGGAGUACACUUUGGAGUAUACUUAGGGGAAGUUUGGGUGGCUUUGUCAACUUUGGAUGGUUGAGCUGGUCGUUUGGAAGAUUGGGUUGAGGGUCCUGGUUCAGAGGGGCCAGGUUCAUCCAUUGUUGGUUGGGGAAACUGGUGAAGGUGUUGGCUCAGAGGGAGAAAUGCAUCCCAUGGGUCUUGGGAAUCCUGGAACAGGAAAUCAGUGUAAUCUGGUUUUUCUUCUUUGAUGAUGAUACCUGUGGACUUGGGUUUGGAUAUGGCGGAUGGAGUGGGGAUCAUGAGGAGGUCAGGUUGUGGACCUAAGGAGGUGUGGGAGAUAUCUUUAAGUGGUGGAGGUUGGUGGUUCAAUUGGCAAAGGUAGUUGUGCAGGACAUCUUGUAUGUCAUUUUCAAUUACAGCUAUAUGUGGUGCAGUGAACCAUUCAUAUACCUGAUCUUGAGUCCAAAAGAGUUUGGUGUCUGGAUGUUGGAAGUAUGGCCUGUGAAUAAUAAAAACUAAUGUGAACAUUUGUGCUUCAGGGGUAGGCAUACGCUCAAGGUUGUAAAUUUUUGACAGUUGUUGCAGUUUCUUUCUCCACCAUGGGAUGGGGGAGAACCAUUCAAGUAAUGUCCAGGUAAGAGAAGUGGCAUUGUCUGGAUUAAGAAGAUGCUCCAAAGUAGGAGAAAUGGGGAGGAUUAGCUUGGUGGCAUAGAGGACUGUUAGGCACCAGAUGUACCAUAACACAUCUUCAGUGGUUUCUCUAGUUGGAUCAAGGGUUAAACCUGUAAGGAACAGAUUUUCCGGGUGGAAAGUGGAAAAAGGAAAAGGGUAUGUGACAAGGUAGGCUUUCAUGAAAAAGCGAAAGAGAGCUUUUCUAGCAAAUUCUUGGAUGGUAAAAACAGAGGAGAAGGUUUUGUUGAAGGGAAAAGUUUUCUUGGUGAGAGCUUCUAGAGGUAGUGAGGUAGCCAUGGAGAUAAUUGGAAAAUGGUAGGUGGUGGAAAACAGGGUGAGAGGGUUUUCUGGUUUGGAGAGUCUGGAGAGCAUAUCAGGGAUGAGGUUCUGGGAUCCCUUUAUAUGCUUGACUGAAAAGUCAUAUUUGGAAAACCAAUCUUUUAAUCUGAGUAACAUUUUUUCGGGAACAGUUUUACCUUUGAAAUGAAAGAUAUUGGGGAAGGCUGAGCUGUCCAUUCGGAUGAGAAAAUGGUGUCCAAUCAAAUGAUACUCAAACUUUUUGAUGCCAUUCUUUACCGCUAAGAUUUCUUUGAACACGCUAUGGUAGUGCUGCUGUGUGUCAGAAAAAUGUCCACUAGCGUAAGCGAUAAAGUUUUCUUUUCCGUUGAUUUCUUCAAGGAGUAUGGCACCCCAUGAUUCAUCACUUGCGUCUGUCUGUAAGAUGCGCUUGCCAUCUGUAAUCAACUUUAAAGGAGGCGGAUUUUGCGCAAUCUGCUUUAGGGUAGUGACAGCAAAUGUGUGGUCAGCAUUCCAUUCUGGGGGCUUCUUUUUCAAUAAAGCCGAAAGAUGGUGAGUGUAAUGAUCCACGUGGGGGAUGAAAUCACGGAUGUAGUUGAUGAUGCCGAGAAACUGUUGAAUUUGCCUUUUGGAAAGUUGCUAAUCUGGAAAGUGAAGCAAUUCUUGGGCAAUGUGCUUUCCUGGCUGGUAGUGUCCAUCUUUUAAAUUCAUACCAAGGAAUUCAACAUUAUCUGUAGCAAUGAUGCUUUUCUUGGCCGAUAACAUGAUUCUAUGACUUUGGAGAAUAUCAUAGAAUUGAGUUAACAGCUGGCGAUGUUCAUCAUGUGAGCCUGAAAAAAGCAAGAUAUCAUCAAUAUAAAUCAAUGCAUGAUGCAAAAUAGGUUGGAAGAUUUGGACCAUGGAUUUUUGGAAAAUGGAUGGGGCAGUUUUAAGACCAAAGGGUAGGACGGUCCAUUGAAAGUGGGCAUUGGGAAUACAAAAAGCGGUUUUGUAGCGUUCGGAGGGUUCAAUGCCUAGUUGCCAAAAAACCUGAUUUUAAAUCAAAUUUUGAAAAGAUCUGGGCAUUUUUCAGAAAAGUAAACAUGCUUUGUCGACGGGGUAAUGGGAAUUUGUCAUCUUGUAAAAACAUGUUUAAUGGCUGGUAGUCAAUGACUAGGCGUUUCUUUCCUCGGACAAUUUCAGAAUGCUUUUCAACAUAAAAGGCUUGGCAAGCCCAUUGAGAACUUGUGGGCUCAAUUAAACCUUGGGCUAACAAUUGUGAACAUUCUUGUUGGGCUAGGAGUAAGUCAGAAGGACUCAUUCCUGGAUGGGUAGCUUUAGUUGGGUUAAUGUCUUCAUUUAGUUUGAAGGGUAACUUAAUGAAGAAAUACUUAUUUUUCCACAAGGGAUUUGGAUGGGUGAACUCAGAAUGGGAUUCUGGACAGAAACUCAAAAGUUUGGUUGAAAUAUCCUGGUAAGACUGGGGAGUUUCAGACAAAUUGUAGAGCUUCAGAAUGUCUGUGAAUGGUUUGAACAUGGACUUGACACGGAUUCCAGUGGGAAUGAUUUGGAGGUGUUUGAUUUGGUGAAGGAUGUCAAAUCCUAACAAGAUAUCCUUAUUAGGAAGAGUUGAACCAAUAACCUUGGUCCAAAGGACACAAUUGGGGAAGAUUUGAAUGCCAAUGGGUUUUUUGGUAAUCAAAGAGGUGGUGAAGAGUUUGCCAUUGACAGCUUUGAAAUGUUCUUGAGACUGGGUCCAAUAUUCUGAUGGAAGAAUAUGGGGGUUUAACAUGCUGCGUUGGGCGCCAGUAUCUAUAAGACCAAUUGCUGGAAUGGGCCUUUGGAAUUUUGAGGGUAAGAUCUGGAGUUUGAUGGAUGGGAUAGGAACUGUAGUAUCAAGGGAGAGUGACUGUUGAUGGAAAAUCACUUGAGACUGGUCACUGUCUGAAUCAGAGGAAUUCUGUAGUGCGAACACUGUGUCAUCAUUGGGUUUAUCUUGUUCAGAGAAAUAGAAUUCCAGUUCAUCUUUGGCAGGAGAGUAGUCGGUAGUUGCUUGAAGAUGCUCAACUAACCGGAUGGAUUUUUCUCUUUUGUUGGGGCAAUCUUUGGCAUAGUGGCCUUUUCUCUUGCAGAUGAAACAUCUGCUUGAUUGCUUUCAUUUGAAUUCUCUAGAGGAGGAAGAUUUCUUUCUGAAGAACCGGUAGGGCUUUCGGGAUCUGCGAGGUUUGGAUGAAAAUUCUAGAGUUUUGAAUUUCCGAAAAUGCCGUUUUUUCUUUGAACUGCAAUCGCAAUCCUUUUUCUUGUGGCAUUUGAUCUGCAAAUAAGGCUUUUUGCAAGCACUCCGAAAAGGUUCUUUGUCUUUCAACAGUUCUUUGAAAAACUGUUUUUGCUCGCAAAGUUUGUCAAGACAAGUUUUGGCAAGCUGGAAGAUUUUGCCAAGAGAGAUGUUGUCUAGGGAAAGAUUGGAUGCUGUGAGUUGUCUCUGGAUGUUGGGUUGGAGUUCUUCGGGGAGGGAAGCCAGAAAGACAUGCUUUAAGGUCGGCUCAUUGAAUCCAUUAAGCUUAUAGAACAGCAGGGACAUUCGCUUAUAAUGGAAGUCAAGAUCUUUAGCAUUGAGGGAGCAGCAUUUCAUGUUGAGAUAAUCUCGUCUGGCAGCUUCAAAGACUGCAGAAGGGUCUCCAAAGAAUUGAUCAUGAAGUAUAGCAAGAGCACUUGAGACUUCUGGGAGAUCAACAAACUGUAGUUGGCGGUAUUGUCCUAACGAAUCAAACCAAUCUCUUAGAGCACCCGUGAAACGAGUAGCAAAUUCUCUAAGGACUGAUUGGGUUGUUGCUCCUGGUCUUAGCAUCUGGAGGUCAAUCCAGGCAGACAUUUCAUUGAGUCGGUCACGCCAUUUAUGAGAUGGAAGAUCAUCAAAUGUGAACCAUGGGCCAUUUGACGAUUUUUGGCUUGAUGGAUUGGUCUGGGUUGGAGGAGGUUGAUUUGUGGCAGAAGAUUCAGGCAUUUCUUCUUCAACUUCGGAGGCAAUAUCAACAUAUGGUUCUGUAUGAGAGGUUUGGCCUUGGGUAGGUUGAUCAGGUUGGGCCAUCAGGAUUUUGGUGAUAUCAGCAUAGGACUUUUCAGAGUCACUGAUGGAUACUGAAGAUUCUGUAUCAGUUUCGGUAGGGCUAUCUGAAACAGCUGGAUUUGAAUUAGAAGUUUGAUCGACUGUAGUAGAUGAAUGGGUGACUGUGUGAGCAGUAAAUUGGUGCAUGGGUUCUUUAUCCUUGGAUUGGGUAGGGACUGAUAAUGGAGCUAGUGGUGAUGCCGGUGUAGAACUAGGAGAUGGGUGGCCAGGGAUGGUCAAUGAGGAAGGAUGAAGAGGGGCAGGGCGAGGCUGCGGUCUAGGUUUGGGUUUAGGUUUAGGUGGUGGUGGCAAAGGAUUGUCUCUGAAAAGAGUAUGAGUCAUACCAAAUAAUUUGGAAGGGUCAUACUGUUUAAUAGGAGAAAGCAUAGAGGCAAAAGGAUGAUAAGUUGGACCGAUGGAAGGGAUAGGAGGUGAAGUGGUGAAAAGAGUAGGUCUCUGUUUGUCAGAUUCAAUCUAGGCAAGUUCAGCUUUUAAGCGUCUGAUUUCCCUUUCUUUUUGGUCAAAUUCGGGGUCUGAGUAACGAUGGGCAAGCAUGGCUCGUAACUCAGAGUCAAGUUGAGAAAUUCUGGACUGGAGGUUUUGGUAGAUCUGCUGCAUCUGUGCAGUGAUGGAGUCAACUUUCGUCUCAAUCUGUUCAGUUCGCAAACUGAUGUUCUCAACUUUUGAAUUGAGAUGCAACAAAGUAUCAUUUUGGGCCCUGGCAUUUUGAGUUUGCCAGUUGAGGACAUAUUCAAAAGGUUUAGGGGGUUCCAGGUGGCCAGUGGAUGUAAUAGGUGAAGAGAUAAAGGGUUUGGACACAACAUUUCGUUGGGGAUCUGUGUGGGGUUCCAAAGAAGGAAAGGAAGAAGAGUAAUCGGAAGAGGUAGAGGAAAACAUCAUACAAGCCAGUGGUUGGACGAUAGGUGUUGAGUGUGAGAGGGGUGAUGGAAGCUCAGAUUUACAAUGUUUGGCAAUCCAUUUGAGUUCUUUUCGGUAGAUGGGUAAUGGAGCUGGUGGAGGUGGAGGAUCUGAUGGUGGUUUGGGGUCACAGUGGUGACAUGGGACAGAAGGUUUUUUCUUUUUGGGUUUCUUUUUCCUUGUGGUUGCAUAAUCAUCGUCAUCUUCCCAAUCAUCCCAGCAGGGAUAAUUUGGGUCACACAUGCCGGAGCCGGGGGCAUCCCAUAGGAAAUGGCCGUUGUACUUGGCUGGAUAAACAGGGUAACCUUCAGAAUUAAACCCUGUAAUGGGCAGAUCUUCCUGAGCUGUCUGAACAGCUGUGAUCAUUGAGGAAUAAGUAAAGGAGAGCCUAGGAGGCUCUUGUGGAGCACUUGGAGGUGGUUUAAAAGUCAUUCUGACUGUUCCAUCUUGUCGUCUUUCAAACAUACUUUCGGAUGUCUGAAUAGGAGCUGUAUUAUUGUGGAACUGUUCAUAGUUGGAGAUCCAUUCAAGAGGCAUACGCUUGAUGAGCUCAUGACGGGGAAUUUGUCGUGGGAUCUGGAUGAUUGUCGGGAUCUGGUCAGAUUCUGCUAACACCAUGAGGGUGUCAGAGUGGUGUUCUGGAGCGGGUAGAUCUAAGGCGUGAUUUUGAAGCCUGUAGACCAGUUGGUGGUGUAAAGUGGCAAUUUUUGCAGAAGAAAUUUGUUCAGCACCUUGAAUUUGGAUUUGGACCUUCAAGGUUGUGGGCAAGUUGGGAUCUUGGAGAGAAAGGUUGAAGUUGGGAUAGAAAGUGAGUAACACACUUCCUGCAUGAAGGGUUGUGAGGACAGUGCCAAUAACAGCAUCUUGGUACUGUUUAAACCGGGUAUCAAGCAUAGCAAGGCGAGCUGUAACCGGUAAUCCUUUUCUCCCAUGAAGGGUAAGGAUUAAUCUGAUACCUCUAAGAUGGAGAUGAGUGUAACCUUCUCGUUUCCAGUUGGAAAUCAACUGUGAGGGUAUUUCAAGAGUAACAUAUUGCUCAGCAGGGGUUGCUUGGAGUGAACACUGAUCCAGGCGAGAAGACUGGAUGUAUUCUUUAGGGUGAGGUCUUCGGUGGAUAUGAGAGUACGAAUACUGCGGGUAAAAGAACUGGGGCGUUUGUAUAGGUGGUAAGGGCUGAGAAGAGGGUAAGAAGAUUCACUGAUCUGGGCGGAUUCAGGGAUGUAGGAGUAUUCUACAAGAUGUUCAAUUUUGUUGGCAGUAUGAGAAGUGCAAGAUUUCGGCAAAGAAAGAGUUGAAGAAAGAGUAACAGGAGUAGAAGGAGUCGAAGAUGAAGUGGAAGCCAUGAAUGAGAAACUCUCUCUGCGUCUGAAGUCUAUGGAUCAAAAAAGAAAAAGACUUAAAUUAUACCAUUUUGAUCAUGUAAACAAGAAUUUAGAAAACAAGUUUCAAGGAGGGGAGAACUCUUUAUAUAGGAGAAUUCUCGGGGAAGAUAGGACAGGACCCCUAUCUAAAAGCAAAAGCAAAAGAUACAUCAUGACACAACUUUAAUUAUUACAAAAGACAAAAGAUGCUUUAAUAAUUAAAGCAUGACUUUUGACAAAAGCAAAAGCAAAAGCUUAAAGUAAAAGCAAACUGCAAUAAUUAUAUAAGACAAAAGCAUAAAGCAAAACAUAAUUAUUACAACAAGACAAACUACUUUAUGGAGAGCGGAGAUUCAUGUAGUUUUCUUCAGAGGAGCUUUCUGUCUCAUCUGGGUCCGUAUCACCAGAGUGAGGAUGCUUUUGGAAGAAAGUUUUAGAGAGCUUUGGAUGCUUACAGGAGGGACCACGACAUGGUGGAUAAGGGCAAUUAUAGUCUCUGGGAGUACACUUUGGAGUAUAUUUAGGAGAAGUUUGGGUGGCUUUGUCAACUUUGGAUGGUUGAGUUGGUCGUUUGGAAGGUUGGGUUGAGGGUCCUGGUUCAGAGGGGCCAGGUUCAUCCAUUGUUGGUUGGGGAAAUUGGUGAAGGUGUUGGCUCAGAGGAAGGAAGUCUUCCCAUGGGUCUUGUGAGUCCUGGUAAAGGAAGUCAGUGUAGUCUGGUCGUUCUUCUUUAAUGAUGAUGCCAGUGGACUUAGGUUUAGUUAUGGCAGAUGGAGUGGGUAUCAUGAGAAGGUCAUGUUGGGGACCUAAAGAGGUGUGGGAGAUAUCUUUAAGUGGCGGAGGUUGGUGGUUUAAUUGGCAAAGGUAAUUGUGCAGGACAUCUUGUAUGUCAUUUUCAAUCACAGCUAUAUGUGGUGCAGUGAACCAUUCAUAUACCUGAUCUUGAGUCCAAAAGAGAUUAGUGUCUGGAUGUUGGAAGUAUGGCCUUUGAAAUGAAAGAUAUUGGGGAAGGCUGAGCUGUCCAUUCGGAUGAGAAAAUGGUGUCCAAUCAGAUGAUACUCAAACUUUUUUAUGCCAUUCUUUACCGCUAAGAUUUCUUUGAACACGCUAUGGUAGUGCUUCUGUGUGUCAGAAAAUUGUCCACUAGCGUAAGCGAUAAAGUGUUCCUUGUCAUUGAGUUCUUCGAGGAGGAUGGCACCCCAUGAUUCAUCACUUGCAUCUGUCUGCAAUAUACGCUUUCCGUCAGUAAUCAACUUUAAGGGAGGCGGAUUUUGCGCUAUCUGCUUUAGGGUAGUGACAGCAGCUGUGUGGUCAGUAUUCCACUCUGGGGGCUUCUUUUUCAAUAAAGUCGAAAGAUGAUGAGUGUAAUGAUCCACAUGUGGGAUGAAAUCACAGAUGUAAUUGAUAAUGCCGAGAAACUGUUGAAUUUGCCUUUUGGAAAGUUGCUGAUCUGGAAAGUGAAGCAAUUCUUGGGCAAUGUGCUUUCCUGGCUGGUAGUGUCCAUCUUUGAUGAUCAUACCAAGGAAUUCAAUAUUAUCUGUAGCAAUGGUGCUUUUCUUAGCCGAUAACAUGAUUUCAUGACUUUGGAUAAUAUCAUAGAAUUGAGUUAACAGCUGGAGAUGGUCAUCAUGUGAUCCUGAAAAAAGCAAGAUAUCAUCAAUGUAAAUCAAUGCAUGAUGCAGGAUAGGCUGGAAAAGUUGAACCAUGGAUUUUUGAAAAAUAGAUGGGGCAGUUUUGAGUCCAAAGGGUAGGACGGUCCAUUGAAAAUGAGCAUUGGGAAUAAUAAAGGCGGUUUUGUAACGUUCGAAGAGUUCAAUGCCUAGUUGCCAAAAACCAUAUUUUAAAUCAAAUUUUGAAAAGAUCUGGGCAUUUUUGAGAAAAGUGAACAUGCUUUGUCGGCGAGGUAAAGGGAAUUUGUCAUCUUGUAAAAACAUGUUUAAUGGCUGGUAGUCUAUGACUAGGCGUUUCUUUCCUCGGACAAUUUCAGAAUGCUUUUCAACAUAAAAGGCUUGGCAAGCCCAUUGAGAACUUGUGGGCUCAAUUAAACCUUGGGCUAACAAUUGUGAACAUUCUUGUUGGGCUAGGAGUAAGUCAGAAGGACUCAUUCCUGGAUGGGUAGCUUUAGUUGGGUUAAUGUCUUCAUUUAGUUUGAAGGGUAACUUAAUGAAGAAAGACUGAUUUUUCCACAAGGGAUUUGGAUGGGUGAACUCAGAAUGGGAUUCUGGACAGAAACUCAAAAGUUUGGUUGAAAUAUCUUGGUAAGACUGGGGAGUUUCAGACAAAUUGUAGAGUUUCAGAAUGUCUAUAAAUGGUUUGAACAUGGACUUGACUCGGAUUCCAGUGGGAAUGAUUUGGAGGUGUUUGAUUUGGUGAAGGAUGUCAAAUCCUAACAAGAUAUCCUUAUUAGGAAGAGUUGAACCAAUAACCUUGGUCCAAAUGACACAAUUUGGGAAGAUUUGAAUACCAAUGGGUUUUUUGGUAAUCAAAGAGGUGGUGAAGAGUUUUCCAUUGACGGCUUUGAAAUGUUCUUCAGACUGGGUCCAAUAUUCUGAUAGAAGAAUAUGGGGGUUUAACAUGCUGCAUUGGGCGCCAGGAUCUAUAAGACCAAUUGCUGGAAUGGGCCUUUGGAAUUUUGAGGGCAAGAUCUGGAGUUUGAUGGAUGGGAUAGGAACUGUAGUAUCAAGGGAGAGUAACUGUUGGUGGAAAAUCACUUGAGACUGGUCACUGUCUGAGUCAGAGGAAUUCUAAAGUGCGAACACUGUUUCAUCAUUGGGUUCAUCUUGUUCAGAGAAAUAGAAUUCCAGUUCAUCUCUGGCAGGAGAGUAGUCUGUAGUUGCUUGAAGAUGCUCAACUAACUGGAUGGAUUUUUCUCUUUUAUUGGGACAAUCUUUGGCAUAGUGGCCUUUUCUCUUGCAAAUGAAACAUCUGCUUGAUUGCUUGCGUUUGAAUUCUCUGGAGGAGGGAGAUUUCUUUCUGAAGAACCGGUAGGGCUUUCGGGAUCUGCGAGGUUUGGAUGAAAAUUCUGGAUUUUUGAAUUUCUGAAAAUGCCGUUUUUUCUUUGAACCACAAUCGCAAUCCUUUUUCUUGUGGCAUUUGAUCUGCAAAUAAGGCUUUUUGCAAGCACUUCGGAAAGGUUCUUUGUCUUUCAACAGUUCUUUGAAAAACUGUUUUUUGCUCGCAAAGUUUGUCAAGACAAGUUUUGGCAAGCUGAAAGAUUUUGCCAAGAGAGAUGUUGUCUAGGGAAAGAUUGGAUGCUGUGAGUUGUCUCUGGAUGUCGGGUUGGAGUUCUUCGGGGAGGGAAGCCAGAAAGACAUGCUUUAAUGUCGGUUCAUUGAAUCCAUUAAGCUUAUAGAACAGCAGGGACAUUCGCUUAUAAUGGAAGUCAAGAUCCUUAGCAUUGAGGGAGCAGCAUUUCAUGUUGAGAUAAUCUCGUCUGGCAGCUUCAAAGACUGCAGAAGGGUCGCCAAGGAAUUGAUCAUGAAGUACAGCAAGAGCACUUGAAACUUCUAGAAGGUCAACAAACUGUAAUUGGCGGUAUUGUCCUAACGAAUCAAACUAAUCUCUUAGAGCACCCGUGAAACGAGUAGCAAAUUCUCUAAGGACUGAUUGAGUUGUUGCUCCUGUUCUUAGCAUCUGGAGGUCAAUCCAGGCAGACAUCUCAUUGAGUCGGUCACGCCAUUUAUGAGAUGGAAGAUCAUCAAAUGUGAACCAUGGGCCAUUUGACGAUUUUUGGCUAGAUGGAUUGGUUUGGGUUGGAGGAUGGUGGUUUGUGGCAGAAGAUUCAGGUAUUUCUUCGUCAACUUCAGGUAUUUCUUCGUCAACUUCAGAGGGAAUAUCAACAUAUGGUUCUGUAUGAGAGGUUUGGCCUUGGGUAGGUUGAUCAUGUUGAGCCAUCAGGAUUUUGGUAAUAUCAGCAUAUGACUUUUCAGAGUCACUGGUGGAUGCUGAAGAUUCUGUAUCAGUUUCGGUAGGGCUAUCUGAAACAGCUAGAUUUGAAUCAGAAGUUUGGUCGUCUGUAGCAGAUGAAUGGGUGACUGUGUGAGCAGUAAACUGGUUCAUGGGUUCUUUAUCUUUUGAUUGGGUAGGGACUGAUAAAGGAGCUAGCGGUGAUGUCGGUGUAGAACUAGGAGAUGGUUGGCCAGGGAUGGUCAGAGAGGAAGGAUGAAGAGGGGCAGGUCGAGGCUGCGGUCUAGGUUUGGGUUUAGGUUUAGGUGGUGGUGGCAAAGGAUUGUCUCUGAAAAGUGUAUGAGUCAUACCAAAUAACUUGGAAGGAUCAUACUGCCGGAUAGGGGAAAGCAUAGAGGCAAAGGGAUGGUAAGUUGGGCCGAUGGAAGGGAUAAGAGGUGAUGUGGUAAAAAGGGUAGGUCUCUGUUUUUCAGAUUCAAUCUGAGCAAGUUCAGCUUUUAAGCGCCUGAUUUCCUUUUCUUUUUGGUCAAAUUCUGGACCAUUGUAUCUGUGGGCAAGCAUGGCUCGUAACUCUGAAUCAAGUUAACCAAUUCUGGAGUGAAGAUUUUGGUGGAUCUGCUACAUCUGUGCAGUGAUGGAAUCAACCUUGGUCUCAAUCUGUUCAGUUCGCAAACUGAUGUGCUCAACUUUUGAAUUGAGAUGCAACAAAGUAUCAUUUUGUGCCCUGGCAUUUUGAGUUUGCCAGUUGAGGAUUGAUUCAAAAGGUUUGGGGGGCUCCAGGUGGCCAGUGGAGGUAAUAGGUGAAGGGAUAAAGGGUUUGGACACAACAUUUCGUUGAGAAUCUGUGUGGGGUUCCAAAGGAGGAAAGGAAGAAGAGUAAUCUGAAGAAGUAAAGGAAAACAUCAUACAAGCCAGUGGUUGGACGAUAGGUGAUGGGUGUGAGAGUGGUGAUGGGAUCUCAGAUUUGCAAUGUUUGGCAAUCCAUUUGAGUUCUUUUCGGUAGAUGGGUAAUGGAGCCAGUGGAGGUGGAGGAUCUUAUGGUGGUUUAGGGUCACAGUGGUGACAUGGGACAAGAGGUUUUUUCUUUUUGGGUUUCUUUUUCCUUGUGGUUGCAUAAUCAUCGUCUUCUUCCCAAUCAUCCCAGCAGGGACAAUUUGGGUCACACAUGCCUGAACCAGGGGCAUUCCAUAGGAAAUGGCCAUUGUGUUUAGCUGGAUAAACAGGGUAGCCUUCAAAAUUAAACCCUGUAAUGGGCAGAUCUUCCUGAGCUGUCUGAACAGCUGUGAUAAUUGAAGAAUAAGUAAAUGAGAGCCGAGGAGGCUCUUGUGGAGCACUGGGAGGUGGUUUAAAAGUCAUUCGGACUGUGCCAUCUUGUCGUCUUUCAAACAUACUUUCAGAUGUAUUAUUGUGGAACUGUUCAUAGUUGGAGAUCCAUUCAAGAGGCAUAAGCUGGAUGAGCUCAUGACGGGAAAUUUGUCGUGGGAUCUGGAUAAUUGUCGGGAUCUGGUCGGAUUCUGCUAACACCAUGAGGGUGUCAGAGUGGUGUUCUGGAGUGGGUAGAUCUAAGGCAUGAUUUUGAAGCCUGUAGACCAGUUGGUGGUGCAAGGUGGCAAUUUUGGCAGAAGAAAUUUGUUCAGCACCUUGAAUUUGGAUUUGGACCUUCAAGGUUGUGGGCAAGUUGGGAUCUUGGAGAGAAAGGUUGAAGUUUGGGUAAAAGGUAAGUAAAACACUUCCUGCAUGGAGGGUUGUAAGGACAGUGCCAAUAAUAGCAUCUUGGUACUGUUUGAACCGGGUAUCAAGCAUAGCAAGGCGAGCUGUAACCGGUAAUCCUUUUCUCCCAUGAAGGGUAAGGAUUAAUCUGAUGCCUCCAAGAUGGAGAUGGGUAAAACCUUCUCGUUUCCAGUUGGAAAUCAAUUCUGAGGGUAUUUCGAGAGUGACAUAUUGCUCAGCAGGGGUUGCUUGGAGAGAACAUUGAUCCAGGCGAGAAGACUGGAUAUAUUCUUUAGGGUGAGGUCUUCGGGUGGAUAUGAGAGUACGAAUACUGCGGGUAAAAGAACUGGGGCGUUUAUAUAGUUGGUAAGGGCUGAGAAGAGGGUAAGAAGAUUCACUGAUUUGGGCGGAUUCAAGGAUGUAGGAGUAUUCUACAAGGUUUUCAAUUUUGUUGGCGGUAUGGGAAGUGCAUGAUUUCGGUAGGGAAAGAGUAGAAGAAAGAGUAACAGGAGUGGAAGGAGUCGAAGAUGAAGGGGAAGCCAUGAAUGAGAGAUUCUCUCUGCGCCUGAAGUCUAUAGAUUGAUAAAGAAAAAGACUUAAAUCAUACCAUUUUGAACUUGAAAAACGAAGAUUGAGAAAAAACUUUCAAGGACGAGUAUGGCUCUGAUACCAUUUAAGAUUCUCAACGAAAUGUUGUGUCCAAACCCUUUAUCCCUUCACCUAUUACCUCCACUGGUCACCUGGAGCCCCCAAAACCUUUUGAAUCAGUCCUCAACUGGCAAACUCAAAAUGCCAGAGCACAAAAUGAUACUUUGUUGCAUCUCAAUUCAAAAGUUGAGCACAUCAGUUUGCGAACUGAACAGAUUGAGACCAAGGUUGAUUCCAUCACUGCACAGAUGCAGCAGAUCCACCAAAAUCUUCACUCCAGAAUUGGUCAACUCGAUUCAGAGUUACGAGCCAUGCUUGCCCACAGAUACAAUGGUCCAGAAUUUGACCAAAAAGAAAAGGAAAUUAGGCGCUUAAAAGCUGAACUUGCUCAGAUUGAAUCUGAAAAACAGAGACCUACCCUUUUUACCACAUCACCUCUUAUCCCUUCCAUCGGCCCAACUUACCAUCCCUUUGCCUCUAUGCUUUCCCCUAUCCGGCAGUAUGAUCCUUCUAAGUUAUUUGGUAUGACUCAUACUCUUUUCAGAGACAAUCUUUUGCCACCACCACCUAAACCUAAACCCAAACCUAGACCGCAGCCUCGACCUGCCCCUCUUCAUCCUUCCUCUCUGACCAUCCCUGGCCAACCAUCUCCUAGUUCUACACCGACAUCACCGCUAGCUCCUUUAUCAGUCCUUACCCAAUCAAAAGAUAAAGAACCCAUGAACCAGUUUACUGCUCACACAGUCACCCAUUCAUCUGCUACAGACGACCAAACUUCUGAUUCAAAUCUAGUUGUUUCAGAUAGCCCAACCGAAACUGAUACAGAAUCUUCAGCAUCCACCAAUGACUCUGAAAAGUCCUAUGCUGAUAUUACCAAAAUCCUGAUGGCUCAACCUGAUCAACCUACCCAAGGCCAAACCUCUCAUAUAGAACCAUAUGUUGAUAUUCCCUCUGAAGUUGACGAAGAAAUACCUGAAUCUUCUGCCACAAACCACCCUCCUCCAGCCCAAACCAAUCCAUCUAGCCAAAAAUCGUCAAAUGGCCCAUGGUUCACAUUUGAUGAUCUUCCAUCUCAUAAAUGGCGUGACAGACUCAAUGAGAUGUCUGCCUGGAUUGACCUCCAGAUGCUAAGAACAGGAGCAACAACUCAAUCAGUCCUUAGAGAAUUUGUUACUCGUUUCACGGGUGCUCUAAGAGAUUGGUUUGAUUCGUUAGGACAAUACCGCCAAUUACAGUUUGUUGACCUUCCAGAAGUUUCAAGUGAUCUUGCUGUACUUCAUGAUCAAUUCCUUGGCGACCCUUCUGCAGUCUUUGAAGCUGCCAGACGAGAUUAUCUCGACAUGAAAUGCUGCUCCCUCAAUGCUAAGGAUCUUGACUUCCAUUAUAAGCGAAUGUCCCUGCUGUUCUAUAAGCUUAAUGGAUCCAAUGAACCGACAUUAAAGCAUGUCUUUCUGGCUUCCCUCCCCGAAGAACUCCAACCCGACAUCCAGAGACAACUCACAGCAUCCAAUCUUUCCCUAGACAACAUCUCUCUUGGCAAAAUCUUCCAGCUUGCCAAAACUUGUCUUGACAAACUUUGCGAGCAAAAACAGUUUUUCAAAGAACUGUUGAAAGACAAAGAACCUUUCCGAAGUGCUUGCAAAAAGCCUUAUUUGCAGAUCAAAUGCCACAAGAAAAAGGAUUGCGAUUGCAGUUCAAAGAAAAAACGGCAUUUUCAGAAAUUCAAAAAUCCAGAAUUUUCAUCCAAACCUCGCAGAUCCCGAAAGCCCUACCGGUUCUUCAGAAAGAAAUCUUCCUCCUCCAGUGAAUUCAAACGAAAGCAAUCAAGCAGAUGUUUCAUCUGCAAGAGAAAAGGCCAUUAUGCCAAAGAUUGUCCUAACAAAAGAGAAAAAUCCAUCCGGUUAGUUGAGCAUCUUCAAACAACUACAGACUACUCUCCUGCCAGAGAUGAACUGGAAUUCUAUUUCUCUGAACAAGAUGAACCCAAUGAUGAAACAGUGUUCGCACUUCAGAAUUCCUCUGACUCAGACAGUGACCAAUCUCAAGUGAUUUUCCACCAACAGUUACUCUCCCUUGAUACUACAGUUCCUAUCCCAUCCAUCAAACUCCAGAUCUUGCCCUCAAAAUUCCAAAGGCCCAUUCCAGCAAUUGGUCUUAUAGAUCCUGGCGCCCAACACAGCAUGUUAAACCCCCAUAUUCUUCCAUCAGAAUAUUGGACCCAGUCUGAAGAACAUUUCAAAGCCGUCAAUGGAAAACUCUUCACCACCUCUUUGAUUACCCAAAAACCCAUUGGUAUUCAAAUCUUCCUAAAUUGUGUCAUUUGGACCAAGGUUAAUCAAACACCUCCAAAUCGUUCCCACUGGAAUCCGAGUCAAGUCCAUGUUCAAACCAUUUAUAGACAUUCUGAAACUCUACAAUUUGUCUGAAACUCCCCAGUCUUACCAAGAUAUUUCAACCAAACUUUUGAGUUUCUGUCCAGAAUCCCAUUCUGAGUUCACCCAUCCAAAUCCCUUGUGGAAAAAUCAGUCUUUCUUCAUUAAGUUACCCUUCAAACUAAAUGAAGACAUUAACCCAACUAAAGCUACCCAUCCAGGAAUGAGUCCUUCUGACUUACUCCUAGCCCAACAAGAAUGUUCACAAUUGUUAGCCCAAGGUUUAAUUGAGCCCACAAGUUCUCAAUGGGCUUGCCAAGCCUUUUAUGUUGAAAAGCAUUCUGAAAUUGUCCGAGGAAAGAAACGCCUAGUCAUAGACUACCAGCCAUUAAACAUGUUUUUACAAGAUGACAAAUUCCCUUUACCUCGCCGACAAAGCAUGUUCACUUUUCUCAAAAAUGCCCAGAUCUUUUCAAAAUUUGAUUUAAAAUCUGGUUUUUGGCAACUAGGCAUUGAACCCUUCGAACGUUACAAAACCGCCUUUUGUAUUCCCAGAUCAUUUUCAAUGGACCGUCCUACCCUUUGGACUCAAAAUUGCCCCAUCUAUUUUUCAAAAAUCCAUGGUUCAACUUUUCCAGCCUAUCCUGCAUCAUGCAUUGAUUUACAUUGAUGAUAUCUUGCUUUUUUCAGGAUCACAUGAUGACCAUCGCCAGUUGUUAACUCAAUUCUAUGAUAUUAUCCAAAGUCAUGGAAUCAUGUUAUCGGCUAAGAAAAGCACCAUUGCUACAGAUAAUAUUGAAUUCCUUGGUAUGAUCAUCAAAGAUGGACACUACCAGCCAGGAAAGCACAUUGCCCAAGAAUUGCUUCACUUUCCAGAUCAGCAACUUUCCAAAAGGCAAAUUCAACAGUUUCUCGGCAUUAUCAAUUACAUCCGUGAUUUCAUCCCACAUGUGGAUCAUUACACUCAUCAUCUUUCGACUUUAUUGAAAAAGAAGCCCCCAAAGUGGAAUACUAACCACACAGCUGCUGUCACUACCCUAAAGCAGAUCGCGCAAAAUCCGCCUCCCUUAAAGUUGAUUACUGAUGGAAAGCGUAUAUUGCAGACAGAUGCAAGUGAUGAAUCAUGGGGUGCCAUCCUCCUCGAAGAACUCAAUGACAAGGAACACUUUAUCACUUACGCUAGUGGACAAUUUUCUGACACACAGAAGCACUACCAUAGCGUGUUCAAAGAAAUCUUAGCGGUAAAGAAUGGCAUUAAAAAGUUUGAGUAUCAUCUGAUUGGACACCAUUUUCUCAUCCGAAUGGACAGCUCAGCCUUCCCCAAUAUCUUUCAUUUCAAAGGCAAAACUGUUCCCGAAAAAAUGUUACUCAGAUUAAAAGAUUGGUUUUCCAAAUAUGACUUUUCAGUCAAGCAUAUAAAGGGAUCCCAGAACCUCAUCCCUGAUAUGCUCUCCAGACUCUCCAAACCACAAAACCCUCUCACCCUGUUUUCCACCACCUACCAUUUUCCAAUUAUCUCCAUGGCUACCUCACUACCCCCAGAAGCUCUUACCAAGAAAACUUUUCCCUUCAACAAAAACUUCUCUUAUGUUUUCACCAUCCAAGAAUUUGCUAGAAAAGCUCUCUUUCGCUUUUUCAUGAAAGCCUACCUUGUCACCGACCCUUUUCCUUUUUCCACUUUCCACCCAGAAAAUCCGUUCCUUACAGGUUUAACCCUUGAUCCGACCAGAGACACCACUGAAGAUGUGUUAUGGUACAUCUGGUGCCUAACAGUCCUUUAUGCAACCAAGUUAGUCCUCCCCAUUUCUCCCACUCUGGACCACCUCCUUAAUCCAGAUAACGCCACCUCUCUUACCUGGACACUACUUGAAUGGUUCUCCCCCAUCCCAUGGUGGAGAAAGAAAUUGCAACAACUGUCCGAAAUUUACAACCUUGACCGUAUGCCUGCCCCUGAAGCACAACUGUUCACAUAAGUUUUUAUUAUUCACAGGCCAUACUUCCAACAUCCAGACACCAAUCUCUUUUGGACUCAAGAUCAGGUAUAUGAAUGGUUCACUGCACCACAUAUAGCUGUGAUUGAAAAUGACAUACAAGAUGUCCUGCACAAUUACCUUUGCCAAUUAAACCACCAACCUCUGCCACUUAAAGAUAUCUCCCACACCUCCUUAGGUCCCCAACAUGACCUUCUCAUGAUACCCACUCCAUCUGCCAUAUCUAAACCUAAGUCCACUGGCAUCAUCAUUAAAGAAGAACGACCAGACUACACUGACUUCCUUUACCAGGACUCACAAGACCCAUGGGAAGACUUCCUUCCUCUAAGCCAACACCUUCACCAGUUUCCCCAACCAACAAUGGAUGAACCUGGCCGCUCUGAACCAGGACCCUCAACCCAACCUUCCAAACGACCAACUCAACCAUCCAAAGUUGACAAAGCCACCCAAACUUCCCCUAAGUAUACUCCAAAGUGUACUCCCAGAGACUAUAAUUGCCCUUAUCCACCAUGCCGUGGUCCCUCCUGUAAGCAUCCAAAGCUCUCCAAAACUUUCUUCCAAAAGCAUCCUCACUCUGGUGAUACAGACCCAGAUGAGACAGAAAGCUCCUCUGAAGACGACUACAUGAAUCUCCGCUCUCUAUAAAGUAGUUUGUCUUGUUGUAAUAAUUAUGCUUUACUUUAUGCUUUUGUCUUAUAUAAUUAUUGCAGUUUGCUUUUACUUUAAGCUUUUGCUUUUGCUUUUGUCAAAAGUCAUGCUUUAAUUAUUAAAGCAUCUUUUGUCUUUUGUAAUAAUUAAAGUUGUGUCAUGAUGUAUCUUUUGGUUUUGCUUUUAGAUAGGGGUCCUGUCCUAUCUUCCCCGAGAAUUCUCUUAUAUAAAGAGUUCUCCCCUCCUUGUAAGAUAUAGAAGUUUUCCAAAAAUAAAAACUCGUGUGUUUUCUUCCAUGAAUUUCUAAACUCUCCCUUCUCUCUCUGCAAAUGAAGUUCUAAGAAAGAAAAAGAAUAAAGGAUUAAAUUUGUUCAUUUUGAAAACCUAAGGAAGUAUGCUCUGCACUUGCCUUUUAUAAGGACCCUGUGCCUCAGAAAACUUUCGAUCAUUUCUUAUCUGGUUUGGUACCCUGUUUUAGACUCAAAGAAAGUCUGUUUUGGGUUGUAUAACCUGAGAAAAAUGUUUUAAAGGUUUUUUAUUACAGAGGUAUAUCGGCUGGAAACCCGAGCUUGCGGACUACUAGUCCAAAGUACAGUUUUAACUGUUGUAGUUCUGGUAUAACAAUGCCACGUACACUCUUAAAUGGUAUCAGAGCCCAGGUGUUCACCGGGGGGAAUAUGAGUGUGUAAAAGAUAAGCACCUCAUCCCACAUCGGUUGGGAUCCUGGCUGUGUGCUAGCUUAUAAGUGCUGGGCAGUCCUCACCCUUUGAGGACCAAUUUGAGGUAAUGGGUGUUGAUGGUGUAGAUCAGCUGAUGGGCUUACCAAUCUCACUAAUUUGGAAGAGUGAUGAACUAUUGGAGCUUUCACUACCAACUUGGAUCUGAACAGGUCAGCACACGUGCUACAUGUGUGUGCGUGUGUAUACAAUGAUCAAUGUCUUCUCAUUCUCAUAAUCCGGUUGAAUACCAUUUUAUAUCUUAAUAACAUUAUUCAUCAAUUGAUGAUAUAAUAUUAUUUCUAAUGUUUGUAUAUUUAAUGUACAAUAAAUAAAUGACAUAUAUAAUUAAGAUACAAAUUAAAGAUUCAAAUAUUAAAAUUACUCACAUUAUUGAACCAAAAAUAAAAAUAAUAUUCCAUACGGCCACUCGUGAUGAGUAGAAGAUUAAUAUCAUUUUAAAAUAUUAAAUUUUUACAAUCAUCUUUUAACUGAAUUUACAACAUAUAAUUUGAGCUUCAUAUUACUAUUUGACAAUCUAAUUCAAUUAUUGUACAAAUUUUAAUGUACUCACAAAUACACAAGACUAUUGAAGUAUAGAUUAUGAAUAAUAAGAUCAAAUCCAUAACGAUUAUAACUCUACUCUAGUUAAGAAGGAAAAUAUUUUAUUCAAAAAAAUUUUAAAUAAAGACGUAAGGAAAUUAAAAACGAGUAAAUUAACAUGAGAAUUCAAGAGAUUGACAUUACUAGGGUUUUAGAAUCUACUGUUGUUCAACUUUUUAAUUCUCUAAUUGCCAAUCAAUUCUAAAUUUUAAAGUGACAACUUAAAAUUAAUUUAUAUAGACUAAUGAGUAUAACAAAUAAGCCCAGUGAAAUUUGAUCGCGUAGGUUUUUUUUUCUUAAUAGUAUGAUAUCUAAACAUCUCAUGUAAACAAAUUGACUAACAAAAGGGCCAAAGUUUUUACAAACACUUAGUGUAAAUUGAUCUUCACAAGUUUUCAUCAUCCCAAGUUCGUGUCGAAUUCUUUUAAAUUGAUCUUCACAUAGAGGUUUCGUAAAGAUGACAGCAAGUUGUUUUUCAGUAGACAUGAAUUCUAAAACACUAUCUCCUUGAAGAUCUUGGUCUUUCAAAAAAUGAUGUCUUAUCUCUACAUGCUUGGUCCUACAAUGUUGAAUGCGAUGCUAACUAGUGUUGUCACACAUGAUAGGAAUAUAAUCAAGAUUUAUCCACACUCUCUAAGGGUUUAUUUCAUACAAAUGGUCUGUACACAGCAACUACUGACGGCAAUAUAUUCGACCUUAGUGGUUGAGAGUGCAAUUGAAUUUUUCUUUUUGCUAAACCAUGAAAUAAGUGAGUGUCCUAGAAAAUGAGUGCUUUUUUUAUCAACUUUAUAACCGGCAAAGUCAGCAUUUGAGUAGCAUGUUAAGUCUAUGAGUGUUCCCUUAGGAUACCAAAGACCAAGGUCAAUAGUCCACCCAAAUAAUGAAAAAUUCUUUUUAUUGCGAGCAAAUGAGAUUCCUUGGGACGUGAUUGAACUCUCGAUUAUAAACAUACAGUAAACAUGAUGCCAGGUCUAUAACAGUUAAGUAAAGUAAAGAUCCAAUCAUACCUUGAUAUUUUUUUAUGUUGACCUCUUUACCUUUUUUAUCCUUGUCAAGCUUGAUUGUUAAUCUUGGCAUUAUCCAUGCCAGAUCUUUUGAGUAGAUCUUUCAUAUAUUUUAGCUCAAUUGAUGAAGAUUUCCUCAUUAUUUUGUUUAGUUUGUAGUCCAAGGAAGUACUUUAACUCUCCCAUCAUGCUCAUUUCCAAAUCCCUUACUUAUAUAAGAUGAAAUUUUCUUACACAAGGACUCAUUAGUAGAACCAACGAUAAUGUCAUCAACAUAAAUUUGAACAAUAAGAAUGUCUUGGUCCUUAUGCUUAACAAAGAGGGUAGUAUCCAUUUUUCCCGUUGAAAAGUCAUUUUCUAAGAGAAAUUUAACUGAGCUUGUUAUACCAUUCUCUAGGUGUUUGCUUUGAGUCAUACAUGCUACUCAGUCACCAGCCUAUGGCAUAGUAGUUCUCUCUGGUCAGAAAGCCAAUGCCAAAGCUGCUCAAAUCUCUCCUCUAAUGAUGAGAACCAUCAAGGGAAUACCAUUAAAGCUUCAAGUGAUCUUUUGCACAUUCAUGGAGGCCUAAUUACAAGAGCUAGAGCCAAAAAGAUGCAAGCUACAUUAAAUGGAUUAAUUGAGAAAAUAUGGAUUGAAAAUGCAAUUCAAGAUGCAAGACAUCAUGAAUUGGGCUGGGAGAGAAGACAAGGCAUUGUGGGCAUUAUUCAAGCUAUUGGGCAGCCAAAUACACAAUUUGGAUCAAAUGCAGAAAGGGAAACUUCGGAAUAAAUCUGGUAUUUAUUAAACCAGCAUUAAUGUGCAAGAUAUAUACCAUUGGAAAGAUAAUUAAGUUAGCUUUCCAAUGCAUUUUACAGAGCUGGAUUUGGAGUUCUCUAGAAGGAGUUAUGAUCAAUUUAUUACAGCUUGUUCAGGCUUGGGAAUUCAAACGACUCAUUUGAUUAUUCAACUUCAUUUAUUUGUUUUGUGUCAAGUUUAUCAAUGUGUUACGUAAGUUUACCAUUGAUGAUGGUGGGCUAGCAUUAUGUUUGUCAAUGCUAACAUUAAUAAUGGUGGGUUGGUGAAGGCUUUUAAAGCACCCUUUGACAAACCUAUACUUGGAGGGUUGUUCCAAUGUUUCCAUUUGUAUUUUUAGGAUCUUGGGUUUCUUUUAGCCUAUUUAAACUCAGCAACCUUGCUAUGUAUGAAAAUUAAGAGAUUAAUGUUAUUUGAAUUUGAAAGAUUAUUCUUUCUUUGGUUCUUUUGAGAACUAGUGAACUUAUCAAGAAUUUGCAUUCUUGUGGCAUUUCAAAUUUAGACUUAUCACUCACCUUCUCAUCUAUUUCUUGAGUGUGGCCUCAAUAUCAUUCUCUAUACCUUUGGUUCAUGCUUUUCUUAAGCAUUGGGUCAAGGUUUUGUUUGUCAUAAAUCUGUUUAGAACUUUCUUGGGAAGUUGAAACUACAAUUUAAGUGUGAGUUUCAAAGUUUCAUUGUGGGAUUUCGUAUCAUCUAACUAGUGCAUAUGCAUAAGAGUGCAUAAGACAAGGAUCUAUAACUGUCUACACAAGGAGUCUGGCCUCUGGCUAGGGAAGUCACUCACAAUUGAGAAAGGGUUUAUAAGGAUUUAGAAAACUUAUAAAAAUGAUUUGAAAAUUUUCAUUUUCAAAAUCGAGAGGUUGUUGAACAUAAACUUCCUUCUUAAUAUAACCAUUUAAUAAUGCACUUUUAACAUCUAUUUGAUAUAGAAUGAAAUCUUUAUGACAUACAAAUGCUAAAAGCAUCCUAAUAUAUUCAAAUCUAACUACGGGAUCAAACGUUUCAUCAAAAUCUAUCCCUUUUUCUUUGUUGUAACCUUAAGCCACUAAUCUAACUUUAUUCCUUACAACUACAUUGGAUUCAUCCAUUUUAUUCCUAAAUACCAAUUUGCUGCUUAUUAUGGAUUGAUGUUUCGGUUUAGUGACUAGUUUAGUACACACAAUUUCUUUCAAAUUAAUUUAAUUCUUCUUGCAUGGCCAUAAUCCAAGAUUCAUCAUUUUUGGCCUCAUGAAAAGAUUUAGGUUCAAUUUGAGAUAUAAAUGUCGUAUGCUUAAGAUGAUCUAUAAUUAAGGUGAGAUGGAACAUGCCUCCACUCCUUGGGGAGUCAUCUUAUUUGAUCUCCUAGAAGAAGAUUAACUAAACAUGGAAACAACUUCAUCUUCAACCUCAACCCCUUCAUCGUCUUCAUCCCAUAUUUCUCUUUCCUCCAGUCUCUCUCUUCCAAGAUCAUGUCAAAAACAUGUAGCUGGUAGUUGUACGUGGCGUUGUUACACCAGAUCUACAACAGAACAAAGUCUAUCCUUAGGGCCAGUAGCCCGCAAGUUCUGGUUUUCAGCCGAUAUACACUUAUCCAUCAAAUACCAAAUUCGAAAAUCAUAUUUGAAAACAGUUUUUCACGAUACCACCCAAAAACACGGCACACGUGGCCUUUAAAGAGGGUGAACAUUGUGAGAAAACACUUUCAUUUUAUAAAAAUCGGUUUUGGAGGAUAAAAACAGGACUUUUCUGAUGCACAGGAUCCUUAGGCUUAAGGCAAGUGCAGAGCGAGUAAGAGGCGAGCGUAUCAUUAGGAACCCAAAUAAUUUCUUUAAGCCCUAGAAGAGAGAGAGGAUUUAGAGGAACAUGAUGUAAGGAAACUUAAAUUUUUAUUUCUGAUUAACCCCCCCUACAACUGAAGCAGAAGGUGCCUUUUAUAGAAAAUCAUCCUGGACAGGACCCCUCGAAUGAUUAUAAUCGACAAACAAGCACAGGCUUUGAGAAAGUAAAGCACACCGACUAAGACUUUUACAUAAGACAAACAUGCUUUGGGAAAGUAAAGCACACCGACUAAGACUUUUACAUAAAACAUUCAAAACAAACGGGAGUCACAUGGGCUGCUCCAUCAAAAGCUGUGUGAUGGCGACAAAUUGUCAUCAUGGAGUGGAUGGAUAGCGCAAUGGUGACACGGCUCCUGUCUCUUUCUCAUAUUGGCGCUUGUGCCGACGUAUCUAUCUCUGGUCUAGAUACGCCUCAGCUUGCUAAUAUUUGUCUUCAUCAGUGUCAGUCAUGUGCUGUGAUGUAGAUGCAGUAAGAGAGUCUGGGUUGCUGACAGUAUAAUGGGGAUUUUCAGUAUGGAGAAGGGACUGAAAAUCUUCCCAUGGGUCCUGAGCGUCUUGGAAUAAGACGUUGGUGUAAUCAGGGCGUUGUUCCAGGACAAGGAUUCCUUGAGGACUUGAACUUGAACCCGGAGUACAACCUUGUGCUUUCGGAAUUAUUUCAAGGGUGUGUGAUGGUCCAAUAGAGGUGUGGUGAAUGUUUGUGGCAGGUGGAGGAACAUUGUUAAGUUCCAUGAGGUAGGCUUUGAGAAUGGAGGUGACCGAUGUAUCAUGGAUGAGGGUAUAAGGAUGAGGGUAAGUUCUCCAUUCAUAUGCCAUGUCUUGUGUCCAGUAGUCUCGUGUGUCUGGGUGUUGGAAGUAGGGCCUAUGGACGAUGAAAACUGUAGUCCAUAUGUUAGCUUCCUGUUCUGGCAUUCUAGAGUUGUUUACGCCACCAUGUGAGUGGGGAAUACCAUUCGAGGAGAGUCCAUAGAAGGUAUGGUGAGAACUCAGGAUUGGUAAGGUGAGUCAAGACUGGUUUGACGGGGAAAACUAGCUUUGUAGCAUACAAGGUGGUGAGACACCACAUGUACCAAAGCUCAUCGUCACAGAUGGACAGAGAGGAGAGAGUGAGGCCUGUGAGAAACAGGUGUUCCAUACAAAGGUUAGGAAAACGGUCAGGUUUUUUAGUUUGAACAUUAAAAAAAUACCUGUAAAGGAACUUCUUUGCAAAAUCUUGUAGCUGGUAAGCCGAUUGGAAAGAGAAGUUCAUGGGGAAGUGUCUCUGGUUGAGAGCUUUGAAAGGAAAUUGGCGAUGCAUGGCGAUUACGGGGAUGGUUUGGAUUGAGGAAAUUAGUGAGGGUUUAUUUAUAGCCGGACGAGUGAGGAAGUCUGGAAUGAGGUUUUGUUUGCCUUUUAUAUGGUGGACAGUGAAAUCAUAUUUAGCAAACUAGUUUUUGAGGCUGAGUAGUUGAAUCUUCUUUUAUAAGGCUGAGCAGUUUUUGAGCCUAAAACAGUGUACGAGUAUGGCUAUGAUCAUCAAAGAUGGACACUACCAGCCAGGAAAGCACAUUGCCCAAGAAUUGCUUCACUUUCUAGAUCAGCAACUUUCCAAAAGGCAAAUCCAACAGUUUUUCGGCAUUAUCAAUUACAUCCGUGAUUUCCUCCUACAUGUGGACCAUCACACUCAUCAUCUCUCGGCUUUAUUGAAAAAGCAGCCCCCAGAGUGGAAUGCUGACCACACAGUUGCUGUCACUACCCUAAAGCAGAUCGCGCAAAAUCCGCCUCCUUUAAAGUUGAUUACUGACGGAAAGCGUAUAUUGCAGACAGAUGCAAGUGAUGAAUCAUGGGGUGCCAUCCUCCUCGAAGAACUCAAUGACAAGGAACACUUUAUCGCUUGCGCUAGUGGACAUUUUUCUGAAACACAGAAGCACUACCAUAGCGUGUUUAAAGAAAUCUUAGCGGUAAAGAAUGGCAUCAUUUACCACAUCUCCUCCGAUCCCUUCCAUCGGUCCAACUUAUCAUCCCUUUGCCUCUAUUCUUUCUCCUAUUAAACAAUAUGACCCUUCCAAGUUAUUUGGUAUGACUCAUACUCUUUUCAGAGACAAUCAUUUGCCACCACCACCUAAACCUAAACCCAAACCUAGACCGCAGCCUCGACCUGCCCCUCUUCAUCCUUCCUCUCUGACCAUCCCUGGCCAACCAUCUCCUACUUUUACACCAACAUCACCACUAGCUCCUUUAUCAGACCCUACCCAAUCAAAAGAUAAAGAACCCAUGCAGCAGUUUACUGCUCAUACAGUCGACCACUCUUCUACUACCGAUAACCAAACUUCUUAUUCAAAUCUAGCUGUUUCUGAUAGCCCUACCGAAACUGAUACAGAAUCUUUAGCAUCCACCAGUGACUCUGAAAAAUCCUAUGCUGAUAUUACCAAAAUCCUGAUGGCUCAUCCUGAUCCACCUACCCAAGGCCAACCCUCUCAUACAGAACCAUUUGUUGACAUUCCCUCUGAAGUUGAAGAAGAAAUGCCUGAAUCUUCUGCCACAAACCAACCUUCUCCAGCCCAGCCCAAUCCACCCAGUCAAAAAUCGUCAAAUGGUCCAUGGUUCACAUUUGAUAAUCUUCCAUCUCAUAAAUGGCGUGACCGACUCAAUGAAAUGUCUGCCCGGAUUGACCUCCAGAUGCUAAGAACAAGAGCAACAACUCAAUCAGUCCUUAGAGAAUUUGCUACUCGUUUCACGGGUGCUCUAAGGGAUUGGUUUGAUUCGUUAGGACAAUACCGCCAAUUACAGUUUGUUGACCUUCUAGAAGUUUCAAGUGCUCUUGCUGUACUUCAUGAUCAAUUCCUUGGCGACCCUUCUGCAGUCUUUGAAGCUGCCAGACGAGAUUAUCUCAACAUGAAAUGCUGCUCCCUCAAUGCUAAGGAUCUUGACUUCCAUUAUAAGCGAAUGUCCCUGCUGUUCUAUAAGCUUAAUGGAUUCAAUGAACCGACAUUAAAGCAUGUCUUUCUAGCUUCCCUCCCCGAAGAACUCCAACCCGAAAUCCAGAGACAACUCACAGCAUCCAAUCUUUCCCUAGACAACAUCUCUCUUGGCAAAAUCUUUCAGCUUGCCAAAACUUGUCUUGACAAACUUUGCGAGCAAAAACAGUUUUUCAAAGAACUGUUGAAAGACAAAGAACCUUUCCGAAGUGCUUGCAAAAAGCCUUAUUUGCAGAUCAAAUGCCACAAGAAAAAGGAUUGCGAUUGCGGUUCAAAGAAAAAACGGCAUUUUCGGAAAUUCAAAAAUCCAGAAUUUUCAUCCAAACCUCGCAGAUCCCGAAAGCCCUACCGGUUCUUCAGAAAGAAAUCUCCCUCCUCCAGAGAAUUCAAACGCAAGCAAUCAAGCAGAUGUUUCAUUUGCAAGAGAAAAGGCCACUAUGCCAAAGAUUGUCCCAAUAAAAGAGAAAAAUCCAUCCGGUUAGUUGAGCAUCUUCAAGCAACUACAGACUACUCUCCUGCCAUAGAUGAACUGGAAUUCUAUUUCUCUGAACAAGAUGAACCCAAUGAUGAAACAGUGUUCGCACUAUAGAAUUCCUCUUAUUCAGACAGUGACCAGUCUCAAGUGAUUUUCCACCAACAGUUACUCUCCCUUGAUACUACAGUUCCUAUCCCAUCCAUCAAACUCUAGAUCUUGCCCUCAAAAUUCCAAAGGCCCAUUCCAGCAAUUGGUCUUAUAGAUACUGGCGCCCAACGCAGCAUGUUAAACCCCCAUAUUCUUCCAUCAGAAUAUUGGACCCAGUCUGAAGAACAUUUCAAACUGUCAAUGGCAAACUCUUCACCACCUCUUUGAUUACCAAAAAAGCCAUUGGUAUUCAAAUCUUCCCCAAUUGUGUCAUUUGGACCAAGGUUAUUGGUUCCACUCUUCCUAAUAAGGCUAUCUUGUUAGGUUUUGACAUCCUUCACCAGAUCAAACACCUCCAAAUCCUUCCCAAUGGAAUUCGAGUCAAGUCCAUGUUCAAACCUUUCACAGACAUUCUAAAACUCUACAAUCUGUCUGAAACCCCUCAACCCUACCAGGAUAUUUCACACAAGCUUUUGAGUUUCUGUCCAGAGUCUCAUUCUGAGUUCACCCAUCCAAAUCCCUUGUGGAAAAAUAAGUCUUUCUUCAUUAAGUUACCCUUCAAACUAAAUGAAGACAUUAACCCAACUAAAGCUACCCAUCCAGGAAUGAGUCCUUCUGACUUACUCCUAGCCCAACAAGAAUGUUCACAAUUGUUAGCCCAAGGUUUAAUUGAGCCCACAAGUUCUCAAUGGGCUUGCCAAGCCUUUUAUGUUGAAAAGCAUUCUGAAAUUGUCCGAGGAAAGAAACGCCUAGUCAUAGACUACCAGCCAUUAAACAUGGUUUUACAAGAUGACAAAUUCCCUUUACCUCACCAACAAAGCAUGUUCACUUUUCUCAAAAAUGCCCAGAUCUUUUCAAAAUUUGAUUUAAAAUCUGGUUUUUGGCAACUAGGCAUUGAACCCUCCGAACGUUACAAAACCACCUUUUGUAUUCCCAAUGCUCAUUUCCAAUGGACCGUCCUACCCUUUGGACUCAAAAUUGCCCCAUCUAUUUUUCAAAAAUCCAUGGUUCAACUCUUCCAGCCUAUCCUACAUCAUGCAUUAAUUUACAUUGAUGAUAUCUUGCUUUUUUCAGGCUCACAUGAUGACCAUCGCCAGCUGUUAACUCAAUUUUAUGAUAUUAUCCAAAGUCAUGGAAUCAUGUUAUCGGCUAAGAAAAGCACCAUUGCUACAGAUAAUAUUGAAUUCCUUGGUAUGAUCAUCAAAGAUGGACACUACCAGCCAAUCAGGGAGCAACUUAUUUUUGAAGUCAAAGAUUCGGGGAAAAGAAGAGUUAUCCAUGUUGAUAAGAAAUUUGUGGCUGAUGAGAUGAAAUUCGAGUUUUUUAAUUCCAUACUUGACUGCGAAAAUCUCUUUGUAGAUCACAUGGUAGUUCUUUUCAGAGUCUGUGAAUUGUCCGCUUGCAUGUGUACAGAAAUGACGCACGCCAUUGAUUUCUUCGAGAAGAAGGGCACUCCAGUAAUUAUCGCUUACAUCAGGCUGGAGGAUGCGUUGUCCAGUUGUGGGAAUUCUGAGUGGAGGAGGUGAGUGGGCUAUCACCUUUAGCUGCUUGACAGCGUUUGUCUGGGUUAGGCCCCAUGGAAGGCACUGUUUUUUUAGCAUGCGUGACAGCUGGCUUGUGUGGAUUGCAACUUUUGGGAUGAAAUCACGGACAUAAUUAACAAUCCCGAGGAAUUGUUGUAUCUGGUUUUUGGUGAGAUUUGUGUCCGGGAACUUUAAUAAUUCAGUUGCGAUGUGUGGACCAGGUUGGUAGUGGCCAUCUUUAAUCACCAUGCCAAGAAAGUCAAUUGAUUCCUUUCUGAUGCUGCUUUUCUUUUCGGAAAGCAUGAUUCCAUGUGUCUGCACAAUAUCAAAGAAAUCCAAAAGGAGCUUCUGGUGGCUCUCAUGGUCAGAGGAAAAUAACAAAAUAUCAUCAAUGUAGACCAGAGCAUGAUGGAGGAUAGGACUAAAGAUUUUUGUCAUGGCCUUUUGAAAUAAUAAAGGAGCAACUUUAAGACCAAAGGGCAUAACGGUCCAUUGAUAAUGGGCAUCUAGAAUGCAAAAGGCAGUUUUGUGACGGUCAACUGGUGAAAUACCAAGUUGCCAUAAACCAGCUUUUAAAUCAAACUUAGAGAAGAUACAAGCCCCUUGAAGAUGAACAAACAGGGUCUGGGAUUUUGGAAGGGAAAACUUAUCAUCUUUAAGAAAAGAAUUAAGUGGCUGGUAAUCAAUAACUAAUCUCUUUUUUCUGCGAACUAAUUCAGAUCGUUUUUCAACAUAAAGGCUUGACAAGCCCAAUCUGAAUCAGUAGGUUCAAUGAGACCUUGUUGGAGUAACUGAGAACAUUCUUCCUUAGCAAGCAAGAGGUCUAAAGGAGACAUACCCGGGUGAGAAGCUUUUGUGGGAUUUAUGUCUUCAUUGAGUUUGAAAGGAAGAUGAAUGAAAAAUUGUUCAUUCUUCCAAAGUGGUGAAGGAUGGUGAAACUGGGAAUGAGUUUCGGGACAAAAUUCUAAGAACUUAUAGGAGAUAUGACUGUAUGGAGAUGGUGUUUCUGAAAGUGAAUACAAACGCAGUGUAUCUAUAUAAGGCAAGAACAUUUGUUUGUAGCGAACUACUCUGUGUAUCUAUAUAAGGAAUAGGUUUUUAACCAAAUGAAGAAUGUUAAAACCUAUGAGUAGAUCUUUGUCAGGGAGUUUUGAAGCUACAAUCUUUUUCCAAAUUAUACAAUUCAGAAAGAAUUGAAUACCAAUGGGUUUUUUGGUAAUCAAAGUGGUCUCAAAAGUUUCGCCAUUAACUACUCUGAAAAGCUUUGAAUGAGGUUCCCAAUAGUCUGAGGGAAGAACAGAAGGAUCAAUCAUACUGGUAUCUGCACCAGUAUCAAUAAACCCGAUGAUAGGAACAGGUUUAUGAAACUUGGAAGAAAGGAUUGACAUUUUGAGGGAAGGUCUGGGGAUGGUGGAAACAUGGUUGACAUUUUGAACUGUAGAGAUGACUGAAAUAUCCUCAGAAUCGGAAGAGUCUGCAAUAAUGAAAGCAGUUUGGUCAUCCUGUUCUGAUUGUUCAGAAAAGUUUGAUUCAACAUCUUCGUUCUCAGAUAACAGGGAAGAAUGUUGAAGGUGCUGUAUGAGACGAACAGCUUUGGCAGACAAACAACAGUUAUGCUUUUUCUUUUUGUACUGGGAAACAUCUUUUUUCUUGAAGUACCAGAAAGGUUUUUUGGAGGACGAUUUUUUGUGGAAGUGUUUUUGAAAAUGUUUUUUCUUUUUGGUCGAACAAACACACUUCUUGUCAUCUUUGUACUCCAUCUUGAGAUGAGGUUUUUUACAAGCUUCAGAGAAGGAUUUUUUGUCUUCCAUGAGAUCUUUGAAGAAGUCCUUCUGCUCUCAGAUUUUAUCCAGGCAUAACAUGGCCAUCUAGAAAAUCUUUCCCAAAGAGAGUCAGCAAUACUAAGAUUAGUGACUGUGAGUUUUCUUUGAAGAUCAGGUUGUAACUCAGAAGGAAGAGAGGCUAUGAAGACAUGUUUGAGAGAAGGGUCAUUGAACCCAUUCAACUUGUAAAAUAGAAUACUCAUUCUUUUGUAAUGAGAUUCCAAAAGAUGUCGUUUGAGAGAACAGCAUUUCAUCUGAUGGUACUAUUUUCUGUCGGCAUCAGUAGAUGCUGUUUUUUCUCCAAUGAAUUGUUCAUGGAUGAUAUUGAGUGCUGUACCAACUGGUGAUUGCAUGAAUUGGAGUUGUCAAUAUUCUCUCAAGCUUUCUAACCAAUCUCACAAAGAACCCGUAGAUCGGGCCAUGAAUUCACGAAGGACAGCUUGAGAUUGAGCAUUUGGCUUUGUUCCUUGGAGAUCAAUCCAUGCAGUAAAUUCUUGAAGUUUUGCAGGCCAUCUGUAACGAGGAAUGUCAUCAAAUGUGAACCAAGAUGCUGAAGAUGGUUUUGUUGAGUGAUCAUGAGCUGGUGGUGGCAUUGGUGGCACUGGUUCGGUGUGAGAUGCUUUAUGCUCAUCAUCAGAGGAACUGUCUUCAACAAUAGGUGUAGAAGUUGAAGCACUGGGAUCUUCAGUUUUAGUGGCCAUCAAUAUGCUCGUAAUGUCAGCAUAUUCUGAUUCAGAGUCAGUGGAAGUACUGGUUGAGUUUGUGGAUAAGGAAGAGGAAGAUGAGUUUGACUCUAACGGAUUGGACUCAUAUCAUGUUUCUGGUUCAGAGGAUUCAGAAGAUGAGUCUUGGACAGUAUGAUAAUGAUACUGAUCCAUUGGUCCUUUAUCCAUUUUAGGGGGUUCAGGAGUGGCUUUUGGUGAAUCUUCCGGAGGGACCAGAGGAACAGAUGAGGAUGAAGUUGGCUGUGACUUUGGUUCUUAAAUUUUUACUUUGGACUUUGAUUUCUUAGGUGAAGAGGGCUGUGGUUGAGGAGUGGGUUAAAGAUGUGAAAAUCCGAAGAACUGGUUGUAAACAGGCUGUUGGGGUCUAGGAGGUGUAUAAAAAGGUGAAUAGGUUUCAAACACAGGUGGAGGCACAGGUAUGGACUGUGUUUGGGUGAAGAGUGUGGGACGAGCCUUUUCAGCAUCAAUUCUUGCUAAUUCAGCUUUAAGUUUUCUGAUCUCUGCUUCUUUCUUGUUAAACUCUGGACCCCAGUUAUGAUUGUUAAUCAUUCGUCUGAGAUCAGUAUCUAGUUCAGAGAUACGGUCCUGUAGAUGUAUGUACAUCUGAUCAAGACGAUGGCUGAUUGAAUCAAUUUUAGUUUCAGUCUGGGAGACUUGACUGGCAACUCGAUCAAAUUUCUUUCCGAGUUGUUUGAGAGUUUGAUUAUGAGCAUUGGCAUUUCUGGUUUGCCAAUUUAAAACAGCUUCAUACUGUUUUGGUUCUUCAGGGUGCCCAGAGGCUGUAACUAGGGAUUGGACAAAAGGUUUUGAGACAAAUCUAGUUUGAGUGUCUGUCUGUUUUUCAAGUGGAGGGAAUGAUUCUUCAUAAGAUUGACUUGAAAACAUUAGGCAUGAUCUUAUUGGUUGGACAGGAGGUUUGGGAUCUGGAGGAGAACGUGGAGGAAAGGAUUUGCAAGAUGUUUUGGGAUAAGAAGGUUCUUUCUUUUUCUUUUUCUUUCUCCUCAUAAUCUCCAGUUCAUCAUCAAUAUCCGUAUCAUCCAAGUAAGGACAAUCUGGAUUACACAUAUGGGCUUCAGGAACAUCCCAUAGAAAAUGACCAUUGAGUUUAUCAGGAUAUACAGGAUACCCUUCGGAUGAGAAACCAUGAAUGGGAAGGCUCUUUUCUUGACCAGUUUGGACUACUGUAAUCAUAGCAGUGUAAGAAAGCCUUGGAGUUUCUGGAACAGGUUGAGGCUCAGGUGUUUGAAAAGAUAGUUUGACUUGACCAUUUUAUCUUCUUUCAAACGUGGCUUCUGUUGUUUGAACUGGUUCAGAAUUUUGGUGGAAGUGCUCAUAAUUGGUCAGCCAUUCAAGAGGCAUGAGUUUGAGCAAUUCUUGUUUUUGGAUUUGUUUGGGAAUUUGGAUGAUGGUUGGAAUUGUAUCUGUGUCGGCAAGAAUCAUUAAGGCAUCAGAUGUGGUUGAAGGUGUAGGAAGAUCUAGUGCAUGAUUUAGUAAUCGAUACACUAUUUGGUGAUGAAGAGUGGCAAGGUUUGAUGUGGGCGUUUGUUCUGCUCCUUGGAGCUGGAUCUGAACUUUGAUGGUUGUCGGAAGGUUGGGAUCUUUAAGAUAGAGGUUGAAAUUUGGGUAAAAGGUUAAGAGGACACUACCAACAUGGAGUGUGGUCAGAACGGUUCCUAUAACAGCAUGUUGGUACUGUUUGAACCUGGUGUCCAGGAGAGCAAUUCUGGCUGUAACAGGUAAGCCUUUUUGGCCAUGGAGAGUUAGAAUCAAUCUUAUACCACCAAGAUGAAGAUGGGUAUACCCUUCUCGUUUCCAGUUUGUUACGAGAUCUGAGGGUAUUUCUAAAGUAACAUACUGUUCACGUUGAGAGGCUUGUAAAGUACACUGAUCUAGUCUAGAAGACUGGAUAUACUCUUUUGGUAGUGGUCUUUUUGUGGAGAUGAGGGUUCGAAUACUUCUGGUGAGAGAAGUUUUUUGUUUGUAGAGGUUGUAGGGACUCAUGAUAGGAAACUGUGAUUCAUUGAUUUGGGCAGAUUCGGGAAUAUAAGAAUAUUCGACAAGGUUUUCAAUUUUAGAGGCUAUAUGUUUUUGACAUGAUCUUGGAAGAGAGAGACUAGAGGAAAGAGAAAUAUGGCAUGAAGACGAUGAAGGGGUUGAGGUUGAAGAUGAAGUUGUUUCCAUGUUUAGUUUAUCUUCUUCUAGGAGAUCAAUUAAGAUGAUUUGGAAUUACUAAUGAUACCACCUAUUCUCCUUAUUGUUCCUCUUGAUUCUCAUAUAGAAGAUCAUAUUCAUUUUUCUUUAUAUUCUCCAUGUUUACAUCAUCAUUAGCAAGAACUUUCUUCAUAGAAGGAGGAUUAAAUUCAUCAAAUAUGACGUGCAUGGAUUCUUUAAUAACCAAGGUUCUUUUAUUAUAAACUCUAUAAACUCUUCUUGAAUUUGAAUAUCCAAGAAAGAUGCCAACAUGAGAUUUUGGAUCAAAUUUGCCUAAAUUAUCUUUUGUACUUAAAAUAAAACAUUUGCAUUCAAAAACUCUGAAAUAAUCGACAUUAGGUUUUCUAUCUUUCCAAAGCUUAUACAGAGUUUUUUUUAAAAAAAAAUGUUUAGUUAAUACACGAUUUAAAACAUAGCAUGAGGUAUUAACGGCUUCGGCCCAAAAAUAUUUUGGUAAAAAUUUUUCAUUCAAUAUAGUUCUAGCCAUUUCUUGAAUAGAUCUAUUCUUUUUCUCAACAACUCCAUUUGUUGUGGAGUCCUUGGAGAAGAGAAUUGUUCAAUACCUAAAUUAUUGUAAAAAUUUUAAAAGGCAUGAUUCUCGAAUUCUCCACCAUGAUCGCUUCUAAUGCAUGAAAUAACAUAGCCUUUGUCAUUUUGAACCCUUUUACAAAAGAUUUGAAAACAUCAAAGGCAUCAUCCUUAUUUGCUAGGAACAACACCUAAGUAUAUCUAGAAAAAUCAUCAGCUAUAACCAAUGCAUAGUAUUUUCCAUUAAACCUUGUAUAUCAAGACAGUUCGUAUAAAUCUAUGUGAAGAAGUUAAAGAGGGUUUGAGGUGGAAAUAUGACUUUUAUCUUUGAAAGAGGUUUUGAGUCGUUUUCCAAACUGACAUGCAUAACACACUUUAUCCUUUUGAAAACCAAUUUUGGAAGACCUUUAAAUCAUUUUUAGAAUUCUUUGAAAUCAAAUCCAUGCUUGCAUGACCUAGUCUUCUAUACCACAACCAACUAUCAUCAUGCAACGCCGAAACACACUUAUCAUGAGAUAAUGCACUAUUUAUAUGAAUAAUAUACAUUUCUGCAUCUUUUUCUAACAAAGAGAGUGUUACCAUCACAUGCAUUCUCAAUAACAUAUUUUGAUUUGUCAAAGAUAACUUUAUAAUCCUUAUCACACAAUUGACUAGUACUAAGAAAGUUAUGCAUGAAAUUAUUAACUAAACAUGCAUGCUCAAUAAUGGUAGAGGAAUGUUUUUACCAAUAUUGCCUAUACUAACGAUUUUUCCUUUUGGGUUGUCUUUGAAAGAAACAUUUCCACCAUUUUUAACUUUGGUGAAGCUUGAAAACCAAGAAUAGUCACCGGCCAUGUGGCUUGAGCAUCCGCUAUCUAAAUAUUAUUUGUUCCUUUCCUUCUUCGAUCUCUACAAAACAGGUCUCAAAUUGUGUUCUUAAGUACCCAAACUCUUUUAGAUCCUUGAAUGUUAGCAAUAGUUCCUUUCAAAACCCAAACCUUUUUAACACCAAGAUAAGUAUUUUUCAUGAACAUGCAUAGCUCAUGUGAUGAUUUCCAUUCCAAUAAUUGCAAAUGAUUUGACAUUCACUAAUUGAUAUAUCCUUAAUAAAAUAGUUCCAGUAAUAUUUUAUUUUAAGUUGGUUAUAACUAAUUCCUCCUUUGUCAAAAGUACAUUUUUGAGAGCUAAGCAAUUUUUCUAAAUUUUUUUGACCAUUUGUAAACUUUAAGAAAAUAUCAUUUAGCUCAUUACUCUUUAUCUUAAGAGCUUAUUUUCCUUAGUAAAAUCAUUUACAAGUGGUUUCUCAUGCUUAAAUGAAAUUUUUUUAUUUUCCUUUAAAGGAAAUAAUUUCAUCAUGUGACAUUUUAUUCUCUAUUUAAAGAUAUUUAACCUUUUCAUUUAGAGAACAAUUUUGCUCUUGUAAAUUAUCAUUUUCACUUGAGUUAUAAAAUUUUCUUCAGGAGAUGCUUUUUUAAAUCCAAAUUUCUUUAUAUCACUAUGCAAUUCUUUAAAAGUUUCAAGUAAUUCAUCAUAGUAGGGAAGAUCAUUUACCUCAUCAAGCUCGUCUCCUAUCACCAUAAGUGCUAAGUUUGACAUCUCAUGUGCUUGGUCUUCCUCAGUGGACUCUUCAUCACUAUUAUUCCAUGUUGCUACUAUAGAUUUCUUUUUCAAUUUAGAGUUGCUGAGAAGAGGACAUUCCAAUUUUAUAUGACAUGGCUUCUUGCAUUCAAAGUAAACAAUUGCCUUCUUCUUCUCUUUUUGAUAUUUUCAAGUCUUUGAACCUUCUUCUCUUGCCUAGCUUCUUGAAGAAUCUUUUGAAUUUUCAAGCAAUCAUUGCAAUAUCUUCAUCUUCAAAUUCGCUUUCUUCAUCACUUUCAAGUCUCAAAGCUUUCAAGGCAAUACUCUUCUUCUUCUUAUCUUCAUCUUCUUUUUCUAAUAGCUAAAUCUUCUUUAUAAGAAAUAAAUGAACCAAUUAAAUCAUUAAGAGAUAAAGUAUUAAGAUCCUUAGCUUCUUCUAUUGUCGUUUGCUUAGGUCUCUAAUCUUUUGGUAGUGACCUAUUAAUUUUCUUCACUUUUUAUUGUUUGAAAAAUUUCUUUCCAGGGUUCUUAAAGUGUUUACAAUAUCCAUAAAUCCAAUAUAAAUGGCAUGAACAUUCUCAUUUUGCUCUAUUUGAAGCAAUUCAUAUCUUCUAGUGUAUCUGCUUAUUUUAAUUCCCUCAUAGACAGCUUCAAGCUUUCUUCAAAUUUUGUAAGCAUUAAAACAAGCCGAAACUCUAUGAAAUUCAUUUUCUCUAAGGCAAAAGAUAGGGUAUUCAUGGCUUUAGAAUUCAGAGAAGCUUUUCUCUUUUUCAUCUCAUUCCAUUUACGUGAAGGUUUUGAAAUUUAUUCCCCUUCUUUAUUUUUAGUCAUAGGCAUGAACUAACUAUCACAAAAAACUUCCAUAUUUCAUAAUCUAGUGCUUUCAAGUAAAUUCUCAUCCUAGGUUUUCAAUAAAGGUAGUCAAUGCCGUAAAAAAUGGAGGUUUAGUGGUGGAUUGACCUUCCAUAAAGAUCGAGUCAUUUUGGAUUGUCAUGGAUCUUUUACUCUAGAUAAUUAAGUCUUAAUGAGAGAACCUCGUUCUUAUACCAAAUGAAAUUCUAGUAAAGCAACCCGAGAAAAGUCUCUGAAAAUUCUUAGAUAAUAAUUACACAAUCCAACAUCAUCAAGUGUUUUAAACAAAUAAUAAUAGUAAAAUAACAAUGAGCAAGUUUAAAGAGAUAAGAGAAGAGAAAAAAAACACAAAAUUUUUUACAUGAUUCGUCAAAACCCACUUACGUCUAUGCCUCCAAGCAAACUAAGCUUAAGGAUUCCACUAACUAAGCCCUAUAAUCUAAGGCUUCAAGAUGAUUACAAUGGACUUCAAAGGUAUCAAUGAACCUUUACAAUGAGAGAUAAUCGCACACCUCUUUCUCAAGUAUUUCCCACACUUACAAAGCACACAAUUUUUGAAGUAAAAUUAAAAUUUACAAGAGCAACACUCUCACGAGAGAAUAUUUGCAAGUAAUAGUACAAUGAAAAAUCAAUGUAUAUAAAUAAGCAAAUGAAAGCUCAAUGUGAUUUGUGUGAACUAUGUUAAGCUUGAUAGAGAUUGAAGAAAACAAUGAAUAAGACAAAGAAACACUUUUAGAAAAGUUUGUCUUGGCCUUUUAUAGUUUGAACAAGAAAAAACUAGUCGUUAUUGACUUUCUAGGUACUAUCAGUUUACUGUUUAUACGUAAAUAGGUCCCUGUUUUCUUAUAUGAAAAGUUAUCGUUAUAGUUAAAUAUGAAAUCUUUGCACAAUCGGAUCGCCGCUUAAAAGUUGUCGGUUUACCAUUUGAUUUCCAUAACCUCAUCCAAUCGAAGUCGAUUUAUCGCUUUGUAGUUAUCAAUUUGUUGUUUUAUUCCAGAUGCGCAUCUCAACACAAUCGAUUAGCUGCUUCAAGUUUGCGAUAUGUCGUUUGAUUCCAGAAAAUUUUCCCAAUCUUAUCGGCUAACUGCUUGAAAUUAGCGGUUCACCGAUUGAUUGCUAGAAAUUGUAGUUUUGUCCAAAAAAACUUUACUAAACUCAAAUAGCUCUUUUUUAGGAUUAAAAAUAAUACUUGUCAUUUAAAAUUCUUAAACCAUUUCAAUUGAGUUCUUAAACUUUAAAAUUAACUUAUUUAAUGAAAUCAUAUAAAAGGAUUUUUCCUGAAAAUAUCACAAAAAACUAAUUGAGUCUUUAAGUGCUUAAUCAUACAUUUAAUUAAUCAUAUGAGCUUUACAAGAAUUGUAACAAGAUAAAUCACCUAAGCCUAGUGCUCUUGAUGCUUGUUUUCACAUGGAUAAUUUCUGUCCUUCAAAGGCUAGUAAGAUUUGAAACAUAAAUAUACCAAUAUACCCUUGACGCAUUGUUUGUUAUCAUCAAAAUCAAAACCAUAUAACCGUGUGGGUCAACUCACAAAUGAUCGCCGAGUUAGCUCACUUAAUUGACUACAUUACUACUGGAUUAAUAACAAAAAUAACUAACUAUUUGGGUUAAAAGCCUAAAUAAAUUAUUUGGUGGGAGGCUUUAUUUAAUAUACUUGUGUAUAAGCGGUCUCAUGUUAUUUUGCAAGGUGAGCCUUUAUAACAAGAACAAGUGAUGCGACACUUUUGGCUUCAUCUUUUUUUUUUUAAAUCAAAUAUUUUUUUAAUAGAAUUAGAAAAAAAAAAGAGAUAAAAUAGUGGCUUUAUAUUAUCGUUUAAUUGAAAUCAAAUCUUUUUUAUUUAACAGAAAAAAGAGAAAAAAAUAAGAAGCCUAGGGGUUUUUACCAAAAAGAUAUAAAAGGCUUGUUUAUCUACAAAACAAUAGAGGGGCCACAAUAUACAGAAUAGAAAAAAAGAAAACUUUUCUAUCUAACUUUGAGAGAAAAUAUUUUCUUUUGCUAGUUGCUUUUAGUAGUGAUAAAAACGUAUAAAGACGCCCACACGUCAAGUGCAGAUCAAACUUGAGUCAUAACUUGAAAGAUUAUUAGUGAAGGACCAUGACACUACUAGAAAAAUGGGCUACCCUUUAUGACAGAGUUUCUAUGUGUCAUUGUAGCCCCUGUGAUAAAUGUAUGACAGUAUUUUAUCUAUCACGUCUUCCAUGACAGUGUAUAUCUAUCACACAUAUGUCAUGAAUCAUGCGACGUCGUUUUGCAAAACUUUUUAAAAUUAGUCAAAAAUUUUAGCGGGUAAUUUAAAUUGUUUUGAAUUUGGUGUGUUUCUUCAAACUAUGUCAUAUAUUAAUGAUUUGUAUUCUCUAUCAUGACACUUAAGGUUUAAAUAAAAAUAAAAUUAUUAUUUUUAAUUUUGAAAUUAUAAUAAUACUAAUUAUUAUUAUUUAAAUUCCAGAAUUUUGAAAUAAAAAUAAUAAAAAUCACAUUUUAAAACUUAAAUUAACUUAAAUAAAAAUUACAUUCAAAUUCAUCAAAACUAUUAAAUACCAAAUAGCAUCGUAUAUUAAAAAUUUCAAUCACUGGAAACUUCCAACAAAUAGCAUCAUCAAAAUACAUGGUGAAUCAAAUCCAUAAUAAUAUCUCAUAAAUCCUUUACAAUAUCUAAUCACCCACAAUAUCCAAUCACCAACCCAUCCUAAAAAACAAUUAAUCCAUAAAAAAAACAUUGAUGGUAAAUUCCCAAAAGCCACCAAUAUCACCUGAAAAACAUAUUACAUUAAGCUGAGUACCAAAAAAAUGCAAAUUAACAUAUCAGUCACUUAUAGUUAAUCAAAUUCAUAAGGAGUCAUCACACAGUUCAAUAAUCAAGAAUAAUGAAGAAUUUCACAUAUGUAAUAAUAGCCUAUAAUUACUAACAAAAAUCAACGUAACUUCAUUUUUUAACUCUUCCAUUCCUUGUCUAGAACCUUUUGAUAGCCUUUUUUCCAUUCCUUGUCUAGAACCUUUUGAUAGCCUUUUAACUGCAAUUUCUUACCUUUCUACCUAUGUACCAUAGAUCUGCUAAUUAGUUAGUAUAAAAGGAAAACCUGAUUUAAUCUCAACAGAAUGCCACAAUAUUACCUUGUACACUGGCCCAAAUCUACCUUCUCCCAGUUUAUUGUAACUUGAGAAGUUAUCUGUGGCCUUAGCUAUACUGGCAAAAUCAAAUUCCCAUAAUUCCAUAUCUUAUUUUCCUCCUUCAUUAUUAUAAUUUUUCAUAUGAUUCAUCUUUGUUAAUCCUGAAAUUGUAGGAGAAUUCCAUCAUGGACAGUGAACUUAUUUAGCUACUAAUUAGAAACAAUGAAUUUUAUUUGCAACUAAUCCAAAUGAAUGAUAUUAGCAAAAGGCUUCGAAUAAUGAGUUUAAAGUCUUUGGAGCUCACCAGAGCUAGUUGGGUGUGUAUUUUAAAGAUAUAAUAUCCACACAAUCUCAACUUGUGUGUUAUGGUUACUUAUGAUCUUUUUCUAUCUUAUAUAUAUAUAAUCAUGCACAUUUGAAUUAAUGUUGUUUGUUAACAGUAAGAACAACUAAUAAAAUUACAGAAUCAACCCAUAAAAAAAACCAACAGUAGUUAAAUUCAAUAAAAAAAACUAGUAGUUAAAAUAGCAACAGCGGUUAAAAAAAAACAGCAGAAAUUAGAGAAAUGGAAAGUUUCUUCCAGGGCAGAAAUCAGAGAAAUCAACACAUUAGUGCCCAUCAUAGCAGAGGGCGUCCUAGACAAGUAUUUUGCAGUAAACUUAUCAUACUCAUCAAGCAACUAGUAAUUUCUACUUUAAAAAGUGAAGAAAUUAGAUAUCUAGCUAAUCCAUAAAUUCAGGAUAUCAAAAAUCUUAACAAUUACAUAAAUUUUUUUUCUACUACUUAUUUAGAUUCUAUUUUUUGUUCUGAGAUUACCAAAAGUAUUAACGCAGAUGAUACAUAACUACUAAACUAAUAAGGCAAUACAAAACCUUAGAUCUAGUAAAUAAAUCAAAAUCAAUUGAAAGCUAAUGGUUCAACAAAAAAUAAACAUCAUAGAAUAGCAAUCAGAUCGAUCAAAAUAAACGACGUAUAGAUCACAGAAAAAUCAAAUCAAAUCAAAUCAAAAGAAUAUAAUAUAAGAAAAUGAUGAAGUAAAGCCUGGCUGAACUUGAGCAUAUUGUUCAUCGGCAAGUAGUAGCAGUAGCAUAUCGAAGAGUAAAGACGAAGAUGAAGACGAAGAGUAGCAAUUUGUUGUCCACAAGCAAUGCAAUAGAGAACCAAUUUUUUUGUCGGCAGCGUGAUUUUUUUUUCACAUAAAAAUAGUACCAGAUCCAGAAAAAAAUUAAGUUCACAAAACACUACCUAAAUCUCAAAAUUCACACUUUAACAACUAAAGUGUUUUCAAUAACACAACAAAACAAAACGACAAGUCGUUUUCUUCCUUUGGUUAAAAAUCUAAAACUUGAGCUUAGUAAAGAACCAACGAUUCUUGCCAGUCUUAAACCUCUCCUCGAGGCGCUUCUUGGUCUCCUUGCAAGCUGUCACCUUCUUGUCCUUGCUCUGGAGGGAAUCGGCCGUCACGACUUCCUUCAAAUUGACGUCGAGAGUGUAGUGCGUGGGCAUCAGGUGCUGGUAGCUGACCAACUUGAUGAAGGCCUUGACGCGUGACUACUUCGUUGUCUUCUUCGCCGAGUCCUUGUGGAUCACUUUGCCCGGUUACUUCUUUAUCCCCACUACCAGACAGUGCCCGUUCGGCCUCUUGCGGGUCCCGUCGUCGAACGACUUAACGAUCACCACCUUUCGGCCAGCGUAACAGCCCUUAAGAAGGAUCACGACCUUAUUUGGUUUCAGAAACGUCACCAUUUCACUCCUCGCGCGCCCGCGAGUCUCUCUGGGUUUUUGUGUGUUUGUGCAGAGGCUGGCAACGUGAUUUUGUUGUUGUGUGUGAUUUGGAAAUUAGGGUUUGCCAUUUGAAGUCAAAGGCGAGUCUACCACUUAC
rnacentral:lncRNA from 1 species